rnacentral:lncRNA from 1 species
AGUUGUAUUGUAUGUUUAGCCUAGACUUGCGUUUAAACUUCUAAUUGCAUUCCUAAAAUUUUUGGAUUUUCUUUGUAUUAACAACUACUAUUAUCAACUAAAAUUGAAGACUAAAUUGUACUAAAAGAAUAUUGCUUGGUUGUAACUAAUAGGAAGAACGGCACUAGGGUCAUGGCAUCACCUAGGUAGUUAACAAACGGUUAAAACUACUAGUAAUAGAUAAAAAUACAUGAUUUAUGCUAUAACUGUUGCACAAUUGUACCCACUCUUACACCUUUCGGUAGAGAAAGUGAUUUUUCCCGAUUGACUCUCUCGAGACCAAUUGAGUAGGCCUAUUAGACCAAGAAACUAGGGUUCAAGUGGGGUGAUUACUCUCUUGAGAUAUAACCCAUUAAUUGGAACUACAAUUUCUCGUGGGUUCAUCCCAAUUCCUUGUUGGGUCAAUUUUAUGGUCGAAGACUCUCUUUCUCAAGAAGAGUCAAAAUCCACUAAGCUUGGAUCAGUAUUCGCAACCGUGAACUUAAGCAUAAAAUUACCCAAAUAGCAAAUACCCAAUAGCUAUCUAUCAUUAGAAAGCAACAUUCAUCAAUUACCCAUACUAGGGUUGAGCCACAACCCUAGCUAAUGGGUUUAGUUAGAUAUAAUUAAAGAAGAAUCAGAAGAAAUAGAAGGAGAAAUAGACAUAAUAAUUAAUUACUAAGAUUAAAUUGCAAGAAUCUAUGGAGAAAUUAAUGCUAAAAUGCAAAAAUUAGCUAAAAUUUCCGUCCUCACGAGCGCAACUGCGUUUAGUAAAAUAAAGCCUAAAAACUUCCUCUAAAAAAGGUAAAAUGUUCUAUUAUAGUGGGCUGGAAAAAUUGGAUAAAAUUGCCCCUACGAGGUCAGUGCAUGCCGAACAAUUACGACCUCAGCCACACUGGCUCUUUGGCUUCAAUUUCUAUCUUCUCUGAAGUGGCUGGAGCGGACUGCGUAAAGGUGUGGCACGGCCACAUGAAGGCCUGGCGCAGACCGCAAAAUGGUGACCGCGGUCGCAUGGCUUUCCUUUGCUAAAAUUUCUAUCUUUUCUGAACCUUGUGAUGUGGGCCGCAUGCCAUAAUAAUGUGACUGCAUGAGCUAGACGCGGGCCAUAAAUUAACCGCGGCUGCGUUACGUAGGACUUGAUCAUACUUUUCUCUGAACCUUUUGAUGCAGGCUGCAUGUCAUAGUAGCACGGCCGCGUGAGCUGGGCGCGAGCCGCACAUUUCCAACCGACGCCGUGUUAUUUAAUACUUGGUCAUACUCCUGCGAAUCCCCUAGUGCGACCGCAUGCACAAUUGUGCGGUACGCACUAGGCUCCUCGUUCUACCACUUCACUUGGCCUUUGAUACCUGAGCAGCUUUCACUCCGUUUUGAGCCAAUCUUUGACACUUCGUCACUUUGUCGCUCAAACCUGCAAUCAAGCGCAACUAUAAGCAUUUUAGGGCUAUUUUGUAGCAAAUUAUACUCAAAGCAUAGGCAAGUAGGGGCAUAAAACACGUUAAACUCAUGCUUAUCAACUCCCCCAAAGAUAAACCUUUACUUGUCCUCAAGCAAACAAAAUAAUGCCCACCCCUUAAAGAAAACAUCCAAGUAAUUCCAGCUAUCCUAAGGUAACCUCAACAAGCAUCAAUUGGGAUUAACAACUGCCCUCAAUACGAAUGUAUCAUUAACACAUCUAGACUUUAAUAACUUGUGGAUCAAGUGUGACACAAGAGCAUCAAGAGUUGACACAUUUCAUCAAGGAACUUCUCUCAAUAGCUUUGGUCAUUGUGGAACCCAAACUCAUACGUCCUCAACUCUCCCUUAGCAAACCUCACCUUUUAGAGUAUUGACCUACAUAGAAUGCAUUAUUAACACAUUUAGACUUUGAAAACAUGUGGAUCAAGUGUGACACAAGAGCAUCAAGAGUUGACAUAUUUCAUCAAGGAACUUCUCUCAAUAGCUUUGGUCAUUGUGGAACCCAAACUCACACGUUCUAGACUCUCCCUAAGCAAACCUCACCUUUUAGAGUAUUGACCCAAAAACCGAGGUCGGUGGACUUUUACUCAUCUAUCUCAAUAAGGAAGUCGCAAGUCCGUCUCCAAGUACCAUAUGCUCGCCCCUUAGGUAAGUAUCCACUAAUGUAGUUUCUCUUCAACUCAAGAUCAUAUAGGCUUUUGUGGAGUCAUUGUGAAGGCUUUUGGGUAAGGGUAGGAUAUGUUCGUGUUCUAGUGAGUGCAAUCUUCCCUUAAGCACUUCUAUUGAUUUAUUUUUGGCACACUUUCUUGACUAAUUUGAGUAUUUCACUUCCCUUCAAGGGUUAGAGGGACACACUGCCAGUCUUUCUUAUGCAAUUCGAAAUAAUUCUCCUUUUUCUACUUGUUUCAGCCUUUUUCACUUUUAUGUUUCUUGAAUCCCCCUUAUUUUUUUAUAUUGGAUUUCCUUUUCAUCUUUUUCUUCUCUCUUUUUCAUUGCCUUCCUUUUAUUUUUAUUUGUACCUUUUUCCACUUUGUUUCCUUUCUUGUCUCCAUCCCAAACUUAGGCAUUUUCUAUUACUCAAGGGAAGAUUUGGGUGCAAAGAGAGGGUAUCAUUAAGAGCGAGUAUAGGCGUGUAGCAUUGGUUCUCGAAAGAAAAAAGUUUCAAGGCUCAAAAGCGUUAACUAGGGAUCAUUUCAUUGGUAGGCCGUGGAAUUUUUUAACUUAGAAUUUGGUUCGAGGAGAGCCUACAAUCACUUCUCAAGUCAAAUUUCACCUAGGAUUCGCCUCAAUGAACUUUCAGGGCAAGUUCUCGACCAUCGGCUCGGGAAUUGGACUCAUAGUUCGAGUUCUCAUCACACACACUCAAGGAUUGUUAAAGCCAUCGAGUCGGGGGUCCACAUCACCUUAAUUUCGAUUCAAGCGCACAGUGGUCCAAAAUGACCACAUGAUGACUUUUUGGUCAACACAAAAGUCUCAGGGCCAUAACUUUCACCAUCCUAAUCACAACAUUAUGUCUUUGAUCAUGGGAUUAAAGGAAAAUAUGUUAGGCCCAAGUGAAGCCUUGCCUGAGGUACCCUUAACUACGAAAUAUCAAAAUCAAAAGAAAAAAAUACAAAAACAGACUCAAAUCCUUAAGAAGGUUGUCACGUCAUCUAUCAUUGGGAAGAUCCACCCGGUUUGCACAACACUUCGCCCUUGGAAAGAACCGUGGCAUUAAGAAAACCAAAGUCUUAUAAUAAACGCCAAAACAAAACAAAAGGUUAUGAGCCUAUCUAUGAAUUUAAGAACGAGAAAAUUUUACGAAAAUAGAAAAACCGAAUGAAUAUAAACAAUGGGGGAGUAGAAUAUACAACGAGGGAUGAAUAUAUACAUAAAGUAACUUUAUAUACAGNNNNNNNNNNNNNNNNNNNNNNNNNNNNNNNNNNNNNNNNNNNNNNNNNNNNNNNNNNNNNNNNNNNNNNNCACUUGACUAAAUAUAUACAUAAAGUAACUUUAUAUACAGACCAUGAUAAAAAGUACGAGAAAAGUAAAUGUAAGUUAUGUACAGACCAACUAGAAAAUCAAAUUAAAAAUAUAAAAGGAGUAUCUAAUAUAGACAAUCAUCCGAAUAGAUAAACAGUAGGGCGCACCCCUACGAAUAAGAAAUGGCAUUGUCCCAAAUUCCAACUACCAAAAUAAGAAUACAAUAUCAAAAGAAAGGAUAUAGAGGGCUCCCUAGGCCUGGUCCGUAGGCGUGGUGUCAACAGUGGUCCCCUGGUCCUCUGUAUGGGCGGUAACCUCAAACUGGUUCCCAGCUUGAUGCUGCUCUGUUGCUAGAAUAGGGUCAUGCUGCUAGAUCAGCUGAAUAUCGGGUGUAUUACUGGAGGGAGUCUCCUGGAUCUCAGCAAGCUGAAUCACUAGACCCUCAGUACUAGGCAACUUCCUCUUCUUCCUUGGAGGUCUGGAUGCCUACUCCUGCUGCGGCUCUAGAACUGGUGCUGCUGGUGGAGGGGCUGAGUCCACAAAUAACAUGUCUAAAGCCAGCUGAUCUGCCAAUAGCUUAUUCAUAUCUGUUCGAAGCACCUGUGCUGACUCAAUGGAUGCCCUUGUCUUCCUCAUCUUUUUGUGCUCUCGGGCGAGCUCUUUUAAAGUUACGCCAUGAGACUCUACCGUCUUUGUCAAGGUGGCCUGAGUCUCUAUAAUCUUCUCCUGGUUGGCCAGGAUCUUCUUCAAUGUUUCCUCAGGAGACUGAGGAAUCUGGACAGUGGCUGGUGUAGAAUGGGCCUCAACUGAUGUGGUCAAUGUGGACAACUUGGAUGUCGCAACUGACAUCCAGCUGUUUAAACUGGCCAAGGUCUUUGCUAAGUGCUAAGCUGUCACAGGGUUGGCACGGGAAGAUGGGACAGUUGGGCCAACUGAAGAACUAGGACCCGCAAAGGAAGAUGGCACAUCAUCUGGGACAGAGACAAUUUGAAUAGAGCGGAGCGCAGUAGAAGGCUUGACAGUAGACUCUAACGCAAUUGGCUCCUCAAACUGGCCAGUUGGGGCAGGGGUGGAUGCCUUGUGCUUUUUGUCCUUUGGGUUGUCCGAGCCCUGAAUGCUGAACCAUGAGAACGGGGACACUAGGCGCAGUAUCACAUCACAGGACUUUUUCUUCACCUUCAAGUCUUGGAAAUACAGCGUUAGAGUGUUGGGUAUGGGUAGUCCAAGUGUUGUCCACCCCCAUUGAAGUGAUAUCUAUGUACAUUAUAUUCCCUACAUUGAUACGGAAGCAAGCCAUGAUGGAUGCAGUCGGCACACCCCGGAGGAUUGGGAUAGUCUGGUCAUCGGAAGUAGGGUCAAACCUGUUGCAUACAAAAUUGAUCCACCCUCUAGCCUUGAAAUUCAAGUUCUUCCUCAAAAUCUUUACCCCCGCCUGUAUCCAAUCUGGAAACCCACCCGGAUGAGCCAAAUAUUCAGCCAACCAUGGUCGAACUUCCUCUUUUAUCUCCAACUUCUCUAUGUAUUGGGUCUCAUCUCGUCGUUGAAACCCAAAUAUCUAUUCAACGUAGUCCCUGAAAACACCACAGUUUUGUUGCGCGCUUUGGACACAGCGGAGUCCUUUUUGGUGUAGGCUACGUUGCAAUAGAACUCCUUGACCAUGUGCUCGUUUGCAUCAACCAAAUCAUCUCUAAAAUGCUCCCACCCGAAUCUUGUGUGAAACUGCUGGUGCACAUUCGGGAGAAUGGGUAAUAAGUCUCGGGUGAUUAUGCUCCUCUCCGAAAUAAAUUUUUGUUUUGGCCACAUCUCUCGAAAUUUGUGGAAGUCCACUUGACUAACAAAACCAUCCUCCCAUACUUCCGCUUUUCUUGUUCUUUCUACACCACCAACCUCGAGCACCCCACCACCAGGGACCUCAUCAUCACUAUUGGUCCCACUUGUUGAACUCUCCCCGGAUAUUGAACUUGUGGGAGAGGUGGAGUAUUCGCUGCUCCCCGCUGCUGAGCCAUCAGAUGACUCAGACUGUACAACUAGUGGAGCUUGGGCGGAAGGUAGGGGUGUUAGUUUUGUUUGUUUUCCUUUUCCUCCCGGGGAGGAGUCCCCUCAACCAGGUUGUUUAUCACGUCCUCUUAGUUUAACCAUUAUAUGCAAGCAAACAUGUCUAACUUUGUUAGUUGAAGCAUAAGCAGUGUGCAAAGUGUUCAAAAUAAGUGCAGAGUAACAGCAGGCAUAAUUGAAGAACACCUCUCAGAACAAGCCACCGCGGACCGCACAUUCUGGUGUGCGGCCACCUGGGAGGCACCGCAAGCCACGUGAUCACGACCGCGGGCCGCACUGACUAAUAAACAAAAACUUACCUACUCUGUAUCUCACUAACACGGGCCGCAUGAAAAAAGGGUGCGGCCGCAUUGGUCCAGCGCGGACCGCACAAAUACGGAUGCGGAUGCGCUGGAAACAACUAGCUUUUUAGAUCAAGGUCCAUCGUGGACUGCGCCAAUAAGUGCGAGCCGCGCUGGGUGAUGGAUUAGGAACAAAUUAGGGUUUUACAUAUUUGCCUGUUUUGUUCAAGUUUUACAUCCUAAUUUUUCCCUACCCGAUUACCCACCAUACAAUUCACGCCCAACAUCUAAAACAAACAAAUAAAUUAACCUAAACACUCAAUUCAAGCAAAAACGGAAGAACAAAUAAGCUAUGCUACUGGGAAAUGACAAAUUUGAAAUGAACAACUAAUUAAUUAUCAUUGUGAGAAUUUUUUACCAGGAAUAUAGAGACUCAACUCUUGAUGCAAGCACACAAUUAGAGUCUUAGAGGUGAACAGUGAAAUUUGAGGGUUCUGGUCUGCGAUUUGGCAAAACGAUUACACAGAUGCCCUAAGCCCCUAUUAAUAGAAAACUUGUGGGACCUUGUACGUACCAUUCAGCACAACCGCGUAAAAAUGACCGCGGACCAUGCUGGGUCUCACCCUGUACCUUUGCAGAAAGAAGCCCUCGCGGGUCGCACAAAAAUGGACACGGCCGCCAGAGACCACCGCGGACCGCUCAAUCAUGACUGUGGCUGCGUGGUGAGCUUCAGAGAUCAAUCAUCUUCAGCUUCUUCCGGCGCGGACCGCACAAAUCUUACCGCGGGCACUAACAAUCUUCAGAGUUUGUGCAUUUUUACACUUUGCUUUACACUUUUCAACACAAGUCAUGCAACAUCUCACAAACAAUUAGCUUUAAAAUCCUAAUCUACAAAGAAAAUAAAAAAGAAAUAAAAAUACAUGGGUUGCCUCCUAAGAAGCACCUGAUUUAACAUCAUGGCACAACGUAUGUUACCACCACAUCAUUUUUAAAAAUUAGCGCCACCACGUGACUCUCAUCAAACUUUCCCAAAUAAUGCCCAUUAAUCCAAAAAAUUUCACCUUUCUUGUUCUUGAGAUCAAGAGCACCAUAAAAAGUCACACACAAAACUUCGAAUAGCCCACUCCACUUUGACUUGAGCUUUCCAGGGAAUAACCUCAACCGAGAGUUGAAAAGAAGAACCAUAUCACCAACAUUGAAUUCUUUCCCCCGAGCGUAUGUGUCGUGGAGAUACUUCAUCUUGUCCUUAUACAAGGACGAGCUGGAGUAUGCGUGAAAUCUAAACUCAUCAAGCUCAUAAAACUGCUCAACACGGAGAUUUGCUGCGACAUCCCAUUCCAAGUUCAACUUCCUCAAGGUCCACAUAGAUUUGUUCUACAAUUACACUGGUAAGUGACAUGAUUCCCAAAUGCCAAACAGUACGAAGACAUACCAAUUGGGGUCUUGUACGCGGUUUGGUAGGCCCAUAGAGCAUCAUCUAACUUUUUGGACCAAUCCGUCCGAUUUGUAUUGACUAUUUUGGAUAAGAUGCUCUUUAUUUCUCGGUUAGAGACUUCCACUUGGCCACUGGAUUGAGGAUGAUAGGCGAUUGUCACUUUGUUAUUUACUCCAUACUUGGCAAGAAAAGAGUCAAAAGCCUUGUUUCAAAAGUGGGAUCCCCCAUCACUAAUGAUAGCACGAGGAAUGCCAAACCUUGUAAAGAUAUACUUUUCAGGAAUGCAACAACACUUCGGGCUUCAUUGUUGGGUAAAGCCACGACUUCAACCCACUUUGAUACAUAGUCCACCGCCAUGAGUAUGUAAGUGUUCCCACAAGAGCUCACGAAAGGACCCAUGAAAUCGAUGCCCCAAACAUAAAAAAUAUCUACCUGAAGAAUCAUAUUGAGGGGCAUCUCAUCCCUUUUUUAGAUUCUGCCAACUCUUUGGCGUGCAUCACAUCUCUUUACAACCCCACGAGGAUGUAAGUAUUCCCACAAGAGCUCAUGAAAGGACCCAUGAAAUCGAUACCCCAAACAUAAAAAAUAUCUACCUCAAGAAUCGUAGUGAGGAGCAUCUCAUCCCUUUUUGCGAUUCCGCUGGUUGUUUAGCAUGCAUCACAUCUCUUUACUAAAUCACUAGCAUUUUAAAACAACGUCAGCCAAUAGAAACUGCAACUCAAGAACUUUGAAGCCGUCCUCACCCCUCCAUGAUCCAAGAAUCGUGGUAAGGGGAAUCUCAUCCCUUUUUGAGAUUUUGUCGGCUCUUUGGCAUGCAUCACAUCUCUUUGCUAAAUUACUAGUAUCUUUAAACAAUGUCGGCCAAUAGAAACCGCAACUCAAGACCAUUGAAGCCGCUCUCGCCCUUCCAUGGUGAUCACCAUAAGGAGAGGAGUGAUAAGUCUCCAAAAUGCUCAAUUGUUCACCUUCUGGGACACGUCUUCUAAUUAUACCAUCCGUGUAAAUAUUAAAUAAGUACGGAUCAUCCUAAUAAAAAUCUAAACUAUCCUGCUUGAGUUUCUUCCUUUGGUUGGAAGAGAGCUCACAUAGGACAGUUCCGGUUGCAAUGAAGUUUGCAAUGUCCGCAAACCAUGGCAUGUCACCCAUUGACACGAAAAGAAGUAGCUCGUCGGGGAAUGUGUCGUUUAUUUCAAGGCCGUCGCAUGGUCUCCCUUCUUCCUCCAACCAAGACAAAUGAUCUGCAACUUGAUUCUCAAUUCCAUUCCGGUCCACUAUUUCUAAGUCAAAAUCUUGGAGAAUUAAUACCCAUCUCAUCAAUCUCGCCUUGGAAUCCUUCUUGGUCAUCAAGUACCUCAAGGCGGCAUGGUCCAUGUGCACAAUUACCUUUGCCCCCAUAAGAUAUGGCCUACAAUUUUCCAUAGCAAAUACAAUAGCCAAAAGUUCCUUCUCCAUCACCGUGUAAUUACAUUGAGCUUCAUUCAUCGUCUUGCUUUCAUAGUACACGGGAUGAAACAUUUUUCUAAGUCGUUGACCCAACAUCGCCCCUACCACAACAUCAAUUGCGUCUCACAUUAAUUCAAAGGACAAAAUCCAAUUGGGCGCGGUGAUAAUAGGAUUUAUGGUCAACUUGUGAUUCAAUAGUUCAAAGGCCUCCAUGAAUUUUUCAUCAAAAACAAACAUGAAAUCUUUCUCUAGCAACUUGCAAUGUGGAUUCACAACCUGUGAGAAAUCUUUGAUGAAUCGCCGGUAGAAUCCAGCAUGCCAAAGAAAACUCCUCACCCUUUUUAUAGAAGUAGGGGAUGAAGCCUCGAGAUCACCUUAAUUUUGGCCUUAUCUACCUCAAUCCUGUGCUUAGAGAUCUUGUGACCCAAUACUAUACCAGCAUCCGCCAUGAAGUGGCACUUUUCCCAAUUGAGAACAAGAUUAGUUUCUUCACAUCGGGCCAAGACUCUAUCCAAGUUUUCCAAUCAUUCUUCAAAUAAGUCACCAACCACACUAAAGUCAUCCAUAAAGACCUCCAAUAUGUCUUCCACCAUGUCAGUGAAAAUGGCCAUCAUGCAACAUUGGAAGGUCGUCGGAGCAUUGCAUAGCCCAAAUGGCAUCCGGUAAAAGGAAAAUGUACUAUAUGGGUAUGUGAAAGUGGUCUUUUUUUUUGUCCUCCGGGGAAAUUAGGAUUUGCUUAGAGCCCAAAUACCUGUCCAAAUAACAAUAGAAAGCUCGUCCUCCAAGGCGGUCAAGCAUUUGGUCCAAGAACGGCAGUGGAAAAUGAUCCUUCCGAGUUACCUUGUUAAGUUUACGGUAGUCCAUGCAAACUCUUCACCCGGUAAUGGUUCGAGUCGUAAAAUCUCAUUGUUGGAAUUGGUUACCACCGUCAUUCCUCCUUUAUUGGUCACGCAUUGGACUGGGGAGGUCCAUGAGCUAUCGGAGAUUGGAUAAACCACACCGGCGUCAAGCCACUUCAUAACCUCUUUCUUUACCACUUCUUGCAUUGCUUCAUUUAAUCUUAUUUGAUGUUUAAUUGAAGGCCUUUCAUCCUCCUCCAAGAUGACUUUAUGCAUGCAAAAUGCGGCGCUUAUUCCCUAAAUAUCAGCCAAUGUCCACCCAAUCGCCUUUUUGCGCUUUUGAAGAACCGCCAAAGUGGAGUCAACCUGCAUGUUACUCAAGCAAGACGAAAGAAUAAUAGGUAAACAAGAAUUUGAACCCAAGAAUUCAUACUUGAGGUAUGGAGGAAGGGGCUUCAACUCCAACACUGGUGGCUCCUCAAUCGAUGGCUUCGUUGGGGGAGUUUUGUAGUUUUCAAGAUCCAAAGAUAACUUUCUAGGCUCAUAUGAAUAUGAGCCCAUGCCAUUCAAUGCAUUCACACACUCUGCUCUACCGGCAUCCUCAUUGACAUCCAUGUUAAAAAGCACCACCUCAAGAGAAUCUUCAACAUUUAUCAUGGAACCUGUGUCAUCCACUAUCACAGCUGUGACAAUGUCCGCAAAUGAACACACCCCUGUGCUAUUGGGUUGUCUCAUUGAUUUGCAAACAUGGAAUACCAAAUUCUCAUCACCCACAUAGAAUGUCAACUCUCCCGCAUCAACAUCAACCAAUGCCUUCCCCGUAGUUAGGAAAGGUCUUCCCAAAAUAAUCGGCACUUCAAAAGUCCACCUCACAAUCCAAUAUGACAAAGUCGACCGGCAAUAUGAAUUUAUCAACAUGAACAAGAACAUCAUCAAUUAUGCCCAAAGGUCUUUUCAUCGAUUGAUGUGCCAUUUCAAUUCUCGUGGAGGUUGGUCUAGGUCGCCCGAUUCCCAAGGUCUUGAAAACCGAAUAAGGCAUCAAAUUAAUACUAGCCCCCUAGUCACAAAGGGUUUUUGCAAAGUCGGCACUUCCAAUGGUACAAGGGAUAGUAAAUGCACCGGGGUCCUCAAGUUUGGAGCCAUAGAAUGUACAAUUGUGCUCACUUGAUGAGUCAUCUUGAUUAUCUCACACUCCAUUGACCUCUUUUUUGUAACCAAAUCCUUUAUGAACUUUGCGUAUCCAGGCAUUUGCUCGAGUGAUAGAAUGUACAAUUGCACUCACUUGAUAAGUCAUCUUAAUUUUCUCACACUCCAUUGACCUCUUUUUCGUAACCAAAUCCUUCAUGAACUUUACGUAUCCUGGUAUUUACUCGAGUGCCUCUACCAAAGGAAUGUUGAUUGUUAGACUCUUCCUCAUAUCAAUGAAUUUCUUGAAUUUGUUGUCACCCUUUUGCUUGGCCAAUCGUUGAGGAUAGGGCGGAGGAGGCCUAGGCACUGGUGCCUUGGGUUGGGGCACCACCAGCUCAAGAAUAUCAGUCACGUGUUCCCUAGAUGGGUUCACGUCCUCUUGUGUCUCCUCCUCAACCUCAUUAAUAUCAAUCCGCACAUCAUUGUUCACAUUGGGUUGGCACACGUGUUCCCUAGGUGGGCUCAUGGCCUCUUGUGUCUCCUCAUCAACCUUAUUAAUAUCAAUCGGCACAUCAUUGUUCACAUUGGGUUCCACCACAUCCUCAACCACCAAAGGCAUAUCAUCAUCUCGCAACUCAUCCUCAUCAACCAUGACUUGCUUUUCUAUUGAGUCAUGCAAAUCACCGCCUCUUCUACUUCGCGUUGUCACCUCCAUCACAUGAUUGAUGUUCCUGCUCUUAGGGUUUACUACUGUAUCACUUGGUAGAGCACCCUUCGGGUGAGUAUUUAACAAUUGAGAGAUUUGACCUAGUUGAAUUUCACAUUUUCGAAUAGAGGUAUUGUGGGAGGCCAAUUGAGCAUCGGAGUCUUGGUUCUUCUUAUCAUUUGUUCGAACAUCAUUUCUAUUCUCACCAUAUCACUACCCGACGAACUAGACCCUUGACAUUGAAAAGGGGGUGAAUUGCUUGGUUAUUGGUACAUGGGGGGCCUUUGCGAACGUUACCCCUGUUUCUUUGAUUUCCACUAUUAUUCCACCCUCCUUGAUGGUUGUUAUUGCUCAAAUAAUUGUUUCUACCAUUCCAAUUGGCUCGAUUGUUACCUUGAUUACCCCAAUUGUUGCUUUGAUUGUUGUUGUUCCAAUUGCCACCCCCUUGUUGUUGGUUGUGACUAUUCCAAUUUAUGUCGCCUUGUUUGUUACCCCAAUUGUUGUUUUGAUUGUUGUUGUUACAAUUUCCACCACCUUGUUGUUGGUUGUUACCAUUCUAAUUUCCGCUGCCUUGUUGAUUUCCCCCAUUUCCUUGUGGACGCCAUUGUUGAUUCCCUUGAUUUCCUCCAUUUUCUUGGUAGUGAUUGACAUUCUUCGCUUUGAUCAUCAUAUCAUUCGAAUAACCACCACCAUCAUUGUUGUUGUCAAAUUUUUCUUAAUUACCUUGAGGUUGUUGUGCCCUCUAUUCCUCCUUUUCAACAUAGAAACACCUUCCAUUGCGUUGACUUGGUGUGGGUUUUGGACUUAUUGCAAUUGCGCUUUCGCCAAUUGAAUUAUUGUUGUUGUAAGCUCGACAAUAGCUUGGCCAUGAUCAUGCAAUUCCUUGUGCAAAUGUAUGACAUUAGGGUUACCUUGAGGAACAUUUUCUCGGCUUUGCCAUGCUGACGAAGUAUCGGCCAUUUCAUCUAAAACAUAAAAAGCUUCUAAAAAAUUUCCUCCGGCCAAUUGGUUCACAAUACAUUGGUUGGUCGUGUUGAUGCCCCUAUAGAACAUUUGUUGAAUCGUCGCCUCAGUCAUGUCAUUCUUAGGGCAUUCCUUCACCAUUAUUCUAUAUCUCUCCCAGAUUUCAUGCAAAGGUUCUGUUGGAUCUAGCUUGAAGGCUAAAAUUUCAUCCUGAAGUGCCACCAUAUGACUUGGUGAAAAAAACCUGCCAAUAAAUUUAUCUGCCAACUCAUCCCAAGUUGUGAUGGAAUAGUUGGGAAGCCUUUUCUAACCAAUCCAAUGCUUUAGCCCGAAGAGAGAAUGGGAAAAGCCUCAAUCUCAAAGCAUCCUCAGACACGUUUGUUUGCUUGCUACCCCAACAUGUAUCAACGAACCGCUUCAAGUGCGUGUAUGCAUUUUGAUCGUAGGUGCCCAUAAAAUACCCUCUUUGCUCGAGCAAGGUUAACAUGACAUUUGUAAUUUGGAAGUUACCCGCCCAGAAUCGGGGAGGAACGAUGGCACUUGCAUAUCUUUGAUUCGGGAGUACUCUUGGAGCCACUCUUGGCGGUGGCGGAGGAGGGUCUGGAAUAUUCUCAUUUAGAUACACAUUAGCAUUGGCAUUUCUACCUCUACGUGGAGCUUGAGGUAUAAGUUAAUCUUGAUCAAUAUCUUUAACCUCCUCCCCCGCCAUGGCAUUGCCAAGAGGGUCAUUUGCAUAAGAGCCAUUUGUACCAGAUUGAUUGACACAACAAAAUUAGUAAACAAGAAGGAAAGAGAAGCAAAACACAAAACUAGCUAGACAGAUAGCCAACACCGUAAGUUCGCUGGAAACGGCACCAAAAAGUGAUUGUUGCCGACUCAACACUACAUGAAUGUAGGUAGAGCGGGUCGCUUUAGCUUUUACCUGAAUAGUGGUUCAGGGUCGAAUUUCCACAGGGAGCUUGGAAUGGAGUGGUAUUGUCUGUUUAGCCUAGACUUGCAUUUGAACUUCUAUAUUGCACUCCUAAUAUUUUUUGUUUUACUUUGUAUUAACAAUUAUUAUUAUGAACUAAAAUUGAAAACUAAAUUAUGCUAAAGGAAUACUGCUUAGUUGUAACUAAUAAGAAGAAAUGCACUACGGUCAUGGCAUCACCUAGGUGGUUAACAAAUGGGUAGAAAUUAUUAAGAAUAGAUUGAUAUAUUCGAGAUUUAUGCUAUAACCGUUGUAACUUUGUACCCACUCUCACACCUCUCGGUAGAGAAAGUGAUUUUCCCCAAUUGAAUCUCUCAAGACCAAUUGGGUAGGCCAAUUUGACCAAAUAACUAGGGUUCAAGUAGGGUGAUUACUCUCUCGAGAUUUAACCCGUUAAUUGAAACUACAAUUUCUCAUGUGUUUAUCCCAACUUGUUGGGUCAAUUUUAGGGUCGACUCUCUUUCUCAAGAAGAUUCAAACCCCACUAAGCUGGGAUCAAUAUUUGCAACCAUCAAUCCUUAAUUUAAGCAUAAAAGUAACCCAAAUAGCAAAUACCCAAUAGCAAUCUAUCAUUAGAAAGCAACACCCAUCAAUUACCCAUAAUAGGGCUGAGCCAUAACCCUAGUUAAUAGGUUUAGCUAGACAUAAUUAAAAAAGAUCAUAAGAAAUUGAAGGAGAAAUAGACAUAAUAAUUAAUUACUAAGAUUAAACUACAAGAAUCUAUGGAGAAAUUAAUGCUAAAAUGCCAAAAUAGGCUAAAACUUCCAUCCACACGAGCGCAGCUCCGUUCAGUAAAAAAACCUAAAAACACCCUCUAAAAUGGUAAAAUAUUCUAUUUAUAGUGGGUUAGAAAAAUUGGACAAAACUUCCCCUGCAGUGUAAGUGCGGGCCGCACAAUUACGACCUCGACUGCACUGGCUCUUUGGCUUCAAUUUCUAUCUUCUCUGAAGUGGCUGGCACGGACCGCUUAAAGGUGUGGCGCGGCCACGUGAAGGUCUAGCGCGGACUACGAAAUGGUGCCCGCAGCCGCAUGGCUUUCUUUUGCUGAAAUUUUCAUCUUCUCUGAACCUUGUGACCCGGGCCGCAUUCCAUAAUAGUGUGGCCGCGUGAGCUAGAAGCGGGCCGCAUAUUUCCAACCGUGGCUGCAUUAUGCAAGACCUGAUCAUACUUUUCUCUAAACCUUGUGACGCGGGUCGCACGUCAUAAUAGCGCGGCCGCGUGAGAUGGACGCGAGCCACACAUUUCCAACCGCGGUCGUGUUAUUCAAGACUUGGUCAUACUCCUAUAAAUCCCCUAGUGCGGCCGCAUGCACAAUUUUGCGGUCCGCACUAGGCUCCUCUUUCCACCACUUCACUUGGCCUUUGAUACCUGAGUAGGUUUCACUCCGUUUUGAGCCAAUCUUUGACACUUUGUCACUUUGUCGCUCAAAUCUGAAAUCAAGUACAACAGUAAGCAUUUUAGAGCUAUUUUGUAGCAAACUAUACUCAAACCAUAGGCAAGUAGGGCAUAAAACACGUUAAACUCCUACUUAUUAUUGUUCUAGCAACAUUUGAGGAUGAAUAUUUUUAAGGAAGGAAGAUUGUAAAACUCCUCAAAUCUAUAAAUAUUUUAAUACACACUAAUUAUUUAAUUUAAUUUUUUUCCAUCUUACUCCUAAACACAAAAGUAUUAUACUCUUACUACUAAUUUAAACCCUUGUGAUUGACUUUUGAGUUACUUCUCUAUCAAUAAUCAAUUAGAUAUACAAAUAGGGGAAUAGUUAUAAUUUUAAUAUUAUUAAUUAUUAAAAGUAUGUAUCAUUAAUUAUCAGUUAAGUUAAAGAAAAUAAAAAAAGAAAAAGGCCUAAAGCCCAUAAAAUGGGUUGUUGGAACACAAAAGGCUUAAAGCCUUAAGAAAAAUAGAACCAAGUAUUGUAUAGUCACGCUAGAGGCAAAAAGGCUUAAAGCCUUGCGAGGAAUGAGAAACAAGGGUGGGAACAUACUUGCAAAGAAUUUAACAUAGCCAAAAAAAUCAAGAAGCGAGAAAUGGAGGCAGCGUUGCUUCUCGACUACUUCGGACCUUCUUUAGGCCGCGAUUAAGCUAAUUCUUUUAUGAGGUUAUAAGUUAUUACAUCAUUAUAUACUAGAAUCUAACACUUAAUGGGGUGAGUUCAUAGAAAAGUUUUACAAAAUAUCAAGAAUAUCCAUCCAAUACGAGUUAAGUAUUUGAUGUUACAAGAUAAAUUCUUCACUUUUAUUGAAUUUCUAUAAUGGGUUAAAGUUGUUAGAGGUAGUAAAGAAUUUCUUGAACAAGGCUUCACCCCAAAACAUAGAAAUUUAGAAGUUGAACAUAAAGUUCUUAGAGUUGACGAAAGAUUAAUAAUUUUGGGAAGUUGGAUACUUAUUAUGACUUAUUAUUGUAGUAUUUGAUCAUUGAGUUGAUUACAAGAAUUGGAUCUUACAUUGUUGCUGGGAAAAAGAAAUUGAGGUGAGUGGAUAUAACCCUUUAUUAAAGUUGUUCUACUCUCAAAAACAUGCCCAAAAAGUGUUUUAUAAACUUCUUUGAAGAGUCAACAUAUGCUUAAUUGGAACGAGUGAAUACAUGUUGACUAAGUAUAUUCUAGUUAAAGAUUAUAUAUUUUACUUGAGAAGUAUAAUCAUCUUUUUUCAUAUUUUUAUGUUUUAUUACAUGAUCUUACAUGUUAAAGAUUGAAGAGUUAUGUAUAACUUAUAAAAAUACUUUGAGUAAUUUUAUGCAUGCUUAUGUUAUGCAUACACUCAAGAAUACUAUUAUGAAUAAUGAUGAUCACUUUCAAACAAGAUUCAGACUUGAAAAGUCGCAAGAACAAGUUAUAGAAAUAUGAGAUUUUUGGGAGUAUCCUCUAUCCUGAGAAGGGGCCAUUGUUCAGGCCGAUAGUUCUGGCCAAAGCAUUAACUUUCUGAAACUACUUAUGCCAAAGUAGGGAGCACACGAGCUCAGGGUCUUAUUGCUGAAAAUUUACUUAGCCAAACUAAGGUAUGAUAUAUGAACGGUGAGAACAAUAUAGCGAGUUGCAACUCGUGGAUUCGAUCAAGUUGGGAUCGAACCUGUGCCGAUCAUACGGUGACUAAGAAAAAAAUAAGUCAGGAUAGUCAGAACUCCCGAAGUAUAAAGUCAAGUAUUUUUAUAAGAAAGAAAAAGAAAAUAAAUUCUUUUAGAAUAUUCAUAAACCGCUAUUAUGCAAUUAUUUUAGAAUUGUUCUUAGAAACUUUAUAUUUUUCAUGCAUUUAGAAUAUUUGCUCGUAAUGUAUAUUUUAUUAAAGUUUCGUCCCCUGUCAUCAAGACUCACUAAGUAUAAUGGAUGGUACUGACACUCUCUUUUGGGAACCUACAUUGGUAUGCGGUAUGACGUAGGAACCGAUUUUGUAGGAGAGCCGACUACUGAUUAGGACUUAUCUCUCUUCCAUAGCUAUUAAUGAGCUCCGCUUUUUUCGUGGAGUAUUCCUUUAAGUCAUUUUUAUUUAGUUAUUUCAUUGUUUACUUGGAGAACUAGCCAGACAAUCUCAUGUCUAGAGCAGCGCGUCAGUUUAUCAAUAGAGGCUUCAUAAAUACAGUCGAGGAGUUAAACUCAGAUAUUUUUUAUAAUAACUUAGUAGUAUUUCAGUGGUUACUACGAUAAAGUUUUGGAGUUGGUUUAUUUUAGAUAUUAAAAUUAAUUAAAUGUAUUCAGUUAAAGUAUUGUCGUGUUGCAUAUAAAAUUUGAAAUAAUAAUAAACUUAAUAAGUGCAAAUAAUUCGUUCGAACAUAUUUAAUGAUCGAGUACCGAUCAGGACUUGUUUAGAAAAUGGGUCGUGACAUGUGUUAAGUGGAAAAAGAAAACACAAUUAAGAAUUAGGCCAGUUGCAACACUUUGUUUUGGAAAACCAUCAAAACAGUAAACAAUGAUACAUUAUAGGUGCAUAUCUGUCAAACUGCAUUUAUAGUUUUUUUUUUAAUGAAGCAUAAUUUAUUUUAAAUCUGGAGUUAAUCAUCAUUUUGAUAAAACAAUGAAAAUCGUAACUUGUAAAGAGCAACCCUUGGAGUAUGAGCUGCUUGUUGAUGAUAAAACCUAAUGAAAGAGGAAGGUCGAAGGCUUGUAUUAUAGUACGAGGAAACCACCUUUAAACAACUUUCAUAUAGUUUUAACAACUUGUCAAAUUAUCAAUGAUGGGCUAAAGGGAAAUAAUUGGCAGAAUUUUAACAUGAUAAUCCCAAAAUCUACGAUAAAAUUGUCUGAUAGCACUAAUGAUUUCCUACAGAUUAAUGUGGUAUUUUGCAGGUCCUAGAAGUUUAAGUACAAUUAUUUGCUGUUCCUUUUUGGUUUAGGUUAUGUGCUAUGCAAGUAGACCUGCUCGGCACAGACAAUCAUAAUUAUUCACUCAUAACCUGUCGAUUUAAUUUUAAUAACAAACAUAUAGACUUAACAAAAAAAUUAUGUCUUAGACCCCUUAACAUAAUUAUAACGCCAUGUUGUAGGAACUCAUCUGACAAAGUUAAUUCUCCAUUAUUUUCUCUGGCCUGUCGAGGUAUAUAUAUCAUUCAAUUGAUUCCGGUGCUUCAUUAUUCUCCGAUGAAUACAUCAUCUACUGUUUAGGCCGGUGUAACUUUAUGUUCUAUAGGCCACCAAAAAGGUGAUGCUUACUGAUGGUCCUACGGUAUGGGGUAAAAUAUGCUAUGCUAGGUGACCGUUAAAAGAAUAUUAUGUGGAAUUGAAGCAAAUUUUUUCAUUUGGUAGAGGAAGGAAUUAUUUUCAUAAAGAGGCAAUAAAUACUCACUGCCUGGUGGUAUUAUUGAAGAAUAUUCCAUAAUAUUAAGUACACUGCAUGUUACGAGGAUUUACAUUUAUGUUCACUGUUACAUCUUCAUCAAUUACCCUCAUAAUUGAAAAAAGGGAAUGAUCUUAGGACCUUGUUCCCUAGACGAGCCAUAAAUGGUGAACUAUGUUAUCAUUGUGAGAGAGAUGUUUUUUCUAGCGAAACUGAUACUAUAAUCUAUUCUAAGCUCUAUACAACUUUGUCUUUCUAUUUUUUGGUUCUUACAAUUGUUGCUCCCAAAAUCACUAUUUCUGCUAUUUCAUCUUAAUAUCGAGGCUAAAUAUUACAUGUUUCUUCAAUUAUUUCAUUAUUUCAUUAUUUCAGGAUCGAGUUAAUUCACUUGUCUAGAAAUCAUGUAUAAAUUUAACUGGCGUGCUUAACAAAUAAAUAGUUUGGCGCACACCGUGGAGCCUGGACAAUCGUCCAAUUAAGUUGAUCUUUGCCUUUUUUACUAACGUAUUUUUAUUAUGUCUCUUAGAAAAAAUCAUAAGAAAUGAAAGAUAACAGUGUCAAAUGCACACUAUCCUAAGACGAAGCGAUCAACCUCAUUUCGAGGAUUCAAUCAAUGACACCCGCAUUGAGGGGAACGAUUCCACCCCUGUCCACAAUAGGAGAUACCCGCGACAUAUUCAGGAGGCAACUCCCGAUGAUGCUGAAUAAGGACCAUGUUGUUGAUGUUUAAGGGUCAUAUAAGAGCAACAAGCAAUUAUUUUGGACCAUCUCACAUGGUAGGAUAAGGUUAUGAUGGAGUUGAGAUAAGUGUUAUGAGGGCUUCCAAUAACACAAAUUGAAGAGAUCCAGGUCCUCCCGGUGUUCCCAUAUAUCAAACAACUAAAAGGACCGACAACAACACCUUGAGGGGGAAUGUUAGCUCUGAUGGAGCUGAGGGAGCGCAUCUGGCCCGAAUAACGAAAAUGAUCCCUUCAAUAAUGAACUUUUUGGUUAAUGAGAGAAGUGAACUUCCGAAUGGACCAAAUUUCGGGUGCGACACCGGUGCUGAAAGGUCCAGAAUCAAUGAAGUAUACUCAAUUGUUGUACAAACUAAGCACGACAUCGAAGUUAAUCCCGAAGCUGUAUAAAAUGCCCGACGUGCCAAAGAAUCAUGGAGCUUCUGAGCAUAUUACCACCUAUACAAUGGCAGGAAAAGGGAAUUAUUUAGCUCCUUACGAGAUUGAAUUUGUUUUGCUAAAGAAAAUUAGAGAGAUUCUCACGAGGGGAGCUUUGACAUGGUAUUCGUUGUUACCCAAGCUGCCCAUAGAUUCCUAGGAAAUACUCGCAUAUGCUUUUACUAAGGAUCAUGCCGUAGCCAUAAAGGAACAUGCCCAUAAAGUAAACAUAUUCAAAAUUGUACAAGGAGAAUACAAGUUGUUGCGAAAAUGCGUUACCAGGAUCUAAAAGGAGAGGAUAUUACUCCCAGCUAUUCCAGAUGAAUGGGCGACUGAAGCAUUCACCAAAGGACUAAAUCUAUAAAGUUUAGCCUCUUCUCGAAAACUGAAGUAGAGUUCACUUGAGUUCCAAGAAACUACUUCGGUGGAUGUUAAAACUGGUACGAUGCACUAGUAAUUUCUUUUAAAUCUGCUAGACUUUUAAAAUUAAAUGUGUUUUAGUGUAUCCAGGAAGAUCAGCCAAUGUCAUACAAUGGAGAGUAUUGGAGCAAGCUAAACUCACCUGAAGGAUCAUUCCGACCAUAAAACUCCUCGCCAAUUCAACAUCGCAAGCAUGACAAUUCGAGGAGAUAUUUUGUUGCCCACGAACACCAAAGAACUGAUGAAAAAAACUCUUUUAUAGUGGUAGAUUGUGAUAUGGAAUAUAAAAUCAUUAUGGAAAGACCAUGGUUGCACGAGAUGAAAGCAGCACCAUCAAUAUAUCAUCAACUGUUGAUGUUUUUAAUGCCCCAAGGAGUGACACAGAUAAGGGGUAACACACCGACAGCAAAGGAGAUGACUGCAAGUUCAAUCUCUAGUAGCAAAAGGAAGGAACACAUGGCAUAGCAAGUACAGGAAUAGACGCCUACUCCCAAAUACGAUAAAGCUAGACCGGGGGUAGAAGCUUCUGGAUUUUAUCAGGUGCCGAGGUAUUUCUAGGUUCUAGAAGAGGCAGAUGCCACAAAAUCCACGGUGGAAUAGCUUGAAAAAGUUGCAUUGUUCAAAACGCUCAUAGAAAGGAAAUUUGACUUAUGCACAGGCCUGCACCCUGAGCUCAGGUCUGGCUUUAUUGAAUUUCUUAAAUCUAAUAAUGGCUAUUUUGCAUGGUCGCAUGCGGAUAUGAUAAGUAUACCGACGGAGCUAGUCGUACAUGAGGUAAGUUUGGAUCCCAACAUACCUCCAGUAAAAUAAAAGAAACACCCUAUUGUGGAAGCCAAGAAUAAAUUCUCAAAGAAGAGGUACUCGCUUACUUAAUAUCGAUUUGAUCCAAGAGGUAAAGUAUCCAGAAUAGCAAGCUAAUCUAGUCGUAGUUUCACGAAGAACAAUAAAUUUUGUGUGUGUAUAGAUUAUAAGGACAUGAAUAAGGUGUUUUUGAAAGACUCGUCCCCACUGCCAAACAUCUAUCAAAUGAUCGAUGCGACUGCUAGCCAUGAAUUAAUGAGUUUCCUCGAUGCUUAUUUUGGGUACAACCAAAUUAAGAUGAACCCAAAAGAUCAAGAAAAGACUUCAUUUAUAAUUAAUGUUUUCAUAUAUUUCUAUAAUAUGAUGCCCUUCGGGUUGAAAAAUGAUGGAGCCUUAGCAGCUCGUGAAAAAGAUGUUAAAAAAAUAGGAAAAACUAUGUAAGUUAAUAUAGAUUAUAUGCCCGCCAAGUCUUUGUAUGCAUUGAUCACCUUAAGCAUUUGUAACAAACGUUUUUCAUCUUGAGAAAGCAUAAUAUGGAGCUUAACUCCGAGAAAUGCGCGUUCGAGGUCAGCUUUAGCAAGUUUCUGGGAUUUUUGGUAUCGUAAAGGGGAAUUGAGGCAAAUCCCGAAAAGAUCAAGGCCAUCGAAGACAUCCUAGUCCAACUAUCAAGUGUGAAGGAAGUCCAAAGGCUCAUAGGGAGAUUGGCAUCUUUGAGCAGGUUAAUUUCCCGUCCAUUCCAAAAAUAUCACCAUUUCUUCGCACUGCUCAAAAAGAAAAACAACUUCGAAUGGACUCGGAAUGCUAGAGGGCUUUGAGAGAUUUGUAAAGGUACUUGUUAAGCCCUCUAUUACUUUCGAAACAAAAGGAAAAUGAAACAAUGUUAGUGUACCUUGUAGUCUCAAAAGUCGCGAUGAAUGAGAUUUUAAACCGUGGGGACAAAUGUAUGCAAACUCCAUUUAUUAUGUUUGUAAAAUUUUAACAGAAACAUAAAAUCUCUUUCCAUAUUUGAAGAAAUUUUCCUUACCUCUCGUAGUCGCUGCUCGAAAGCUGAGGCCCUACUUUCGAUGUCACUCAAUAGUCGUGGUGACAACUUUUACUCUGUGUAUCAUCCUUCAAAAACCCGAGCUCUCGAGUAGGUUGUCCAAAUGUUCCCGUCAAAAUAAGUUAGUUUGACAUACAAUGUAAACAGAGGACUAUAAUAAAAUCAAAAGUCUUGGCUAACUUUGUGGCCAAUUUUAGCGCGGGAUUACUACCUCUGGAAAACAAAGAGGGAGUAUUGGUGUUGGAAUUGACAUCAAAAAUUUGGACCCUAUUUACAGAUGGAUAUUUCAAUGUAAAAGAGUCUGGGCUUGGUAUAGUAUUAAUAACGCCUUCGGGGGAAGCCCUAAGGCAAACCAUCAGGAUGGUCCGUUUAAUGAACAAUGAAGUAAAGUAUGAAACUUUGAUUGCAGGGCUAGAACAGACCUCGGGACUAGAUUUUGAGGUCAUAUAAAUAAAUUUUGACUCAUAGCUGGUGAUAAAUCAGGUCUAUAAAAUCUUAUAAACCAAAGAGGACGGCAUGGAACAAUACAUAGUAAAGGUCCAGGCUUUGUUGGCUCAAUUUUGGGAGUGGACGAUUACUGAUGUCUUGAGAGAAGAAAAUGUAAAAGCAGACGCAUUGGCUAACCUCGGUUCAUCGAUGGAAAUGAAGGAAUUAGAGUCUUAGAUGAUAGUACAACUUAUGCACUCGGUCCUGGAUGCAGAUAGCUACUAUGAGGUAAAUAUGACUAAUUUGGUAUGGGAAUGGAGGAACAAAAUCAUCGGUUUUCUCGAGCAUGUGAAGCUGCCAAAGACUCCAAAGCGUGUUGGGUGCUGCACGCCAAAGCAGCACAAUAUUGCUUCAAAAGAGGCCAACUGUACAGAAAAUCUUUCCAAGGCCCACUGGCAUGAUGCUUGGAGGCAUCUAAAGCUAACUAUGUUAUGAGAGAAUCCACAAAGGAUAUGUGGCAAUCAUUAGGGCUCAUAUUUCUUAGUGCUAAAACUGGUAAGGGCAGGAUAUUAUUGGGCCCGCAUGGAAAAAGGCGCCAAAGCCUGUGUACAAAAAUAUGAUAAGUGUCAAUGCUACACACCACUGGUACAUCAAUUGGCAAAACCAUUAUAUUCGAUUAUGUCCUCGUAAUUGUUCAGUAAAUGGGUAAUGGACAUCAUCGGACCAAAGUUGUCGGCUCCUAGUAAGGUCUGAUUUCUUUUGAUUUCGAUUGACUAUUUUUCUAAGCAGGUGAAAGCAUGUCCUUAUCAGAAGAUGGACGAAUGUAAGGUCGUGCAUUUCUUGUGGGAAAAUAUAAUUUUGUUGUUCGGAAUAUCAAAAGAUUUAGCAUUCGAUAAUAGACCACAAUUUAUUAGCACAAAAGUCACAAAGUUCCUUUGAAAUUAAAGAGGAUCACCUCUUCACCUUACCAUCCAAGCGCAAAUGGUCAAGCGAAUUCAAUGAGCAAAGUGAUUAUACAAAACCUAAAGAAAAGUUUAGAAAGGUAAUGGCCCGAGGAAUCACCCGAGGUUUUAUGUUCAUACUGAACAGCGACCAAAUCGAGCAUAGGAUAAACUCAUUUUUCCCUUAUGUACGGGGCGGGAGCCUUUAUCCCGGUUGAAGUAAGAGAACCAACCUUAAGAUAUUCCAAGCAGAUAAAGAAUCAAAUAAUGAAACAAUGUUAGUCAGCUUAGAGCAACUUGAUGAGCGUAGGGACUUCGCGCAUGUAAGAAUGGCAACCCUAAAUAAGAGAAUGGAAUGAUAUUAUAAUCAAAGAGCCAGCCUCCGUCAUUUCAAAGUAGGUGAUUUGUUCCUAAGGAAAGUAACUCAAAACACCUGGUAGCUCAAUACAGGGAAGUUAGGUCCAACAUAGGAAGUCUACUACAGGAUUUCAAAUGUCAAUGGGAAAGGUUCGUAUGAAUUAGAGAAUCACGAUGGAGAAAAGUUUCCCAGCAACUGGAACUUAGCACACCUCAAAAGAUGUUAUUGAUGAUGAGCAUCAUAUGAAUAGAAAGCAUGUGUUGCACUCUUUUUCCCGCCGUUCAGUUUUUGUCCCAAUUGGAUUUUCCUGGCAAGGUUUCUAACGAGGUAACAAUAGAAAGUAUACCACGGAGAAAGCUUCUUCAACAACAAUAAGACUUUUUAUAACAAGGCACAUAAGCAAAGAGUCACUCAAGGAUGGUUAGAUAAUAUUUGGUUAAGCAACAUCAUGCCCUUCUGAGAGACCACUUUUAGUAGCUAACUCAAACUCACAGGCUUUAGCAAUUUCAGCAUCAAAGUUGAUGAUAUCAUCUUUAGCUUCUUCCAAGGUUUUUCUCCUCAUGAUGUACAUAGGGUAAGUUUCUCAACAAUGAGAGAACCCGCUUGGCGCUUAAGUCACUCUUUGAGUUAGAUUACCUCGGCAGAAAGGUCUUCCCAUGCGGAUUUAACAGACUAGAGGCUAACAUCAAGAUCAUGGACAGUUGAGCUAAAGAGCUUGUUAUGCUCGAUAGUCUUCUAACACUUCUCCUCUAACUGGGCAUAUUUCAUCCCCGCAGCAGCAAGCUCUUCAGCAUUGGAAUUUAAGGCUGCCUCUAAAUUGGUCAAUCUUUAAGUGGAGGCAGCCUCACUGUUGGAUGCAACAAGAACGACAUUAUGAAAUUUUAAUCCUUUUGUCCUCAGCCUCUACAAACGAGCCUCCAAUACAAUGACCCCAGUGUCUUUGACUUCAAAUUUUCAGAGGUGAGCGGCACUUUGCUCCCGCUUUGCCAAAAGCUAAUCCUGUGCAAAGGUAAUUUCUUCAUUUUCAUGAAUCAACCUAUGAAAACCCUGGGAAGCAAGAACGUCGUCUUACAAAGCAAGAAAGGCGAAACUCAAGAUAUUUUUAUGCAAAAAUAGAAGAAAUAACAAAGAAAGUAAGGAAUGUACUGAUGUGGCAUUGUGCAUUGCAUGUUCAACAAGCACUCUUCCGAGAGUGCCUGAAUCUUUUCCCAAUCUUUCUCUGAAGCCAAAGGAUUCAUGUAAUUAGCAAGUUCAACCGGUGGGGAUAGCAAAUUGCAUCCAGUAAAGAUUGAAAGAAUAACAUUCCUACACCUUUGUAGAUCUUUAGAAGGGCAGCAUAAUUUUUCCGCAAAUUCACAUAAACUGGGGAUUGGGAAAAGGAACAUUUUGUUCUUGGUCAAGUACGACCGGUGGAGAUGAUGUAGCAGUUACUGAUGGAAGAGUUGCUGAAGGAGAUGAAGCCGAUGGCAAUGAUGAAUGGGAAGAAGUUGCAGGGACUGUAAUGCUAGUUGUGAGUUGCUCAUCAAUCGAAAAUGGUAGGGGCCUAAUACUCAGCCUUACGAUACCGCUCGCGGUGAUUGGGGUCAGAAAAUGAGAGUUGGCAUUCUCUACCAUUUCAAAAUCCACCUAGAGCGUAGAGACAUCAUCCUAGGUUGCUGUAAAUAACUCAAUAAAUUGAGAAUCAUGUUGAUAUGAUAAGGAUCGUCAUCUUCUAUGUAGAGAAGCUAUCUCAUCACUAGCUUCUCCAUCAUUGCCGAUCAUCACGGUGUCUAUUAUCGGCUCAAGACGAGGGCUAGUCACCAUAACUUCUGAAUAUGACUUGGGGGUAAUAGUGUUUGCCUUUUUAUUCUUUACCUCGACUGCGGAUGAACGCCUUCUUUUUGGUUAUUGUUCUCCAGCCAAGGACUCAGUAAUAAAACACUUGUACCCGACGUAGUCCCGGAGACACCUGUUCGAGUAAGCGCCUCCUGGAGUAGUCUCGCCGUAUUAGUAGGGUUAGCCAAAACAUCUUCCUUGGGAAUGGUAACCGAGCCCUUGGAUAGACCUAAUUUUAGAAAAAAAUGGGGAAUGGAUCAAUCAAUUUCUUCAUGUAAGAGCUGAAACAAGGUGAGUCCAAGUUACCAUGAUUUUUGUCCUUCAACCCAUAUUUAAGGGCCAGUUCUUUUCAUGUACGGGGUUUGGACAUAGUAACGUCAAAGCUCUUUUAAACCCACCAAUCCAAGACUUCAACCCUAGGUGGAAGCCAUCGAGUUGCUGAAAUAAGCGAAGAACGAAGGACCAAUGCAAGUAUAAAAAAUAUCUAAUGAAAGAAACAUUAAACAAGGAACUUACGAAUGUUGUUCUAUGAUCCCACCCGGAAUGAUGUCACUAGUUGCAACUACAACGAAUAGUUCCAUCCACCCACGGUCGUUUUCAUCAUCCAUGCUAGAUAAUAGAGUAUGGUAUCCGCAUUUGCAAAAAUUUAUCAUUCCCUCACAAAAGAUUUUGUGGGAAUUGAGAUUCAUCACAUGAGCUAAAUAUAGCUCCUAUCUCGCUUCGUGGCAUAAGAGCCGAAGACAAGAAAUCAUCCUUCACACAUAAGGACUUACUUGUGCCAAAAACACAUAGUAGCAGAGGAAAAAACCCACAAUAAUGAAGUCAAGCUCUUCGCUCAAAAGAAUGCACCCAAAGUAAAAGGAUAUAUGUAAAAAUAUGUAAAACCCUCCCUUGGUAGAUUUACUUGCUCUAUUAGAUCAGGAGUAACAAUGUCCAAAUCAUUAUAUCGGUAAUCUGCCUUCACAACGAAAAUAUAGGUAAGAUUGAUAGAAGAAUGAGUAUCUGCCAACGGCCUACAUACGGGGAAUAGCUGAAGGGAGUUUCUCUUCGAAGUCUUUUGUUGUAACAAGACUUAUAGGGAUAAUUAUAUUUACUUUUGAAGGAACAACAUCCUUGGCUUUGAUCUUUCCCCUUAAAGCACUGAAGUCCUUUGAAAAAGAAGCCAUUUGGAUAAAAGAAAAGCUUUUUCGUUUUAAGGGAGUUAAAGAAAGGUUGAAGAACAUGAGAGAAGAUAUUAGAUAGCUGGGAAAGUUAUCUAAUAUGAAUGAGGAAGCUUUAUGGGUAUAAGUAAAAGUUUUGGCGCCUAAAUUCAUGGCCAUGAUUACCUUGAUAACUGGAAAAUGUGUUGAAUCAUGAGAUGAUGCAUGUUCGGGGCAUGGAAAACAGAGAGACGUGCGUCUAAUUAACCAUUAGAAGCCAUAAGAAGGAAACGUAGUAAUUUCUGCCAAAGGAGUAUGUCUACCAACUUCCAGGUAACACAAGGCUAUGUCACCAAAAAGCAUGGAGACUAUCUGUAUAGGGUAAAAUAAGUUAUGCCACGUGGCCAUUUAAAAUAACAACACGUGGAACCAAACGCAAUUUACCAAUUUAGUACCGGAAGGAAUGAUAUUCACAAAGAGGCAAUAAAUACCCUACACCCGAUGGCAUUAAUGAAGAAUAUUACAUAGUAUUAAGUACACUGCCCGUUAUGAGGAAUUUGGCAUUGAUGCUUACCGUUAAAUUUCCAUCAGUGACCCUCAUAAGUAACAUUAAAAAAGAGUACAAUCCGAGGACCUCGUUCCCAAGAUAUAGCUAUAAAUAGUGAGCUCUAUUAUCAUUGUAACAGAGAUGAUUAGACUGGCAAAACUGGUACUAUAAUCUAUUCUAAGCUCUAUAUAACUUUGUCAUCUUAAUUUUUGAUUCUUACUAUUGUUGCGCUCGAAGUCACUAUUUGUGCUAUUUUAUCUUCAUAUCGAGGCUAAGUAUUACAUAUUUCUUCAAUUAUUUCAUUACUUGAGGAUCGAGUUAAUAUAUUUGUCUAAAAAUCAUUUAUAAAUUCAACUAUACCAUUUUAUGGGUGAACAAUUCACAAUAAUAAAAUUUAUUAUAUAGAAAAUACUUGUGAGAAAUAGUGCUAAGAUUUUAAAAAAUAUGUUUUUUCAAGAACAUUGAUUGAAAUGGAGAAGUACUAUUAGGAUGUUAUAUAUAUAAUAGAAAGAAACUUAGUAAAGUGAAAAACAAAGUUAUAUAGAAUGUUUCAAGACUAGCAACAUUACGUGAGAAUGAAUAUUGAGCUUCUAAAGUUUAACUUAUUUAUCAGGACUCGAAUUUCUCUUCGCCAGUAUCGUGAUGGUUCCUACUACAGAAAUCUAGCAAGUCAACAGAUAUAGUUCUAACACAUUAUUAUUAACCAAACAGAAAUAAAUAAUAACUAAAACUAACAGAUAUAAAGUGGGUAAGUGAUAUAACAGUUCAAAAACUUUAAUACACAACUACCCCAAUGAUCUGGUGUUACAAUUCACGAAUGUCUAAGAAGUUAUACAAAUCCUUGUUUAAAAAAAAUACACCUGUUAUUCGAGAAUUUUUGUGAUUCUAGUAUUGAGGUCGCAUAUACUGAUUUCGUGCUAGUUAUUCGAGAAUUUUCGAAAGUAUUUCCUGCAAACCUGUCGAGGAUGCCACCCGAUAGGGAUAUCGACUUUUGCAUUAAUUUGUCUUCGGGCACUGAACCCAUUUCUAUUCUGCCAUAUCGUAUGGCCCCGUCAGAGUUGGAAGAAUUGAAGGAGCAGCUGCAAAUUUCUUGAUAAGGGCUUUAUUAGAACUAGUGUCUCGCCUUAGGGUGCACCGGUGUUGUUUGUUAAAAAGAAUAAUGGAUCGAUGAGGAUGUGUAUAGACUAUCGGUAAUUGAACAAAGUCACCAUCAAGAACAAGUAUCUAUUGUCGAGGAUUAAUGAUUUGUUUGAUCAGCUUCAGGGUGCAAUGGUAUUUUUGAAGAUUGAUUUGAGAUCUGGUUACCCUCAGAUAAGAAUUAAGGCAUCUAAUGUCCCUAAGACAACUUUUUGCACUGUGUACGAGCAUUAUGAGCUCCUAGUUAUUCAUUUAGGUUGACAAAUGUCCCAGCAUCAUUUAUGGAUUUGAUGAACCGAGUGGUCAAACCAUAUAAGGAUGACUUCGUGAUUGUUUUCAAUUAUGAUACUUUGAUCUACCCUUGUAGCCAAGAAAAGCAUUAGCAGCAUCUCUGAGUCCUUCUUCAGACUCUAAGAGAUAGUCGGUUGUAUGCUAUGUUUUCGAAAUGUGAGUUUUGGUUGAGUUCAGUUACUUUCUUCGGUCGCAUUGUAUUAACAGAGGGUAUUUAUAUGGAUCCCAGUAAGAUUGAGGCCAUCAAGGAAUGACCUUGACCCACAUCAACUACAAAGAUCCGGAGUUUAUUGGGCUUGGCGGGUUAUUAUUGUUGGUUCAUGGAUAUGUUUUCAUCUAUAGCAGCCCUGAUGACUAGGUUGACUCGGAAUGGUACCUUUUUCAGGUGAUCGAAGAGUGUGAGCCGAGCAUUUAUAAGCUCAAGACAACUUUUACUAUGGCAUCGUGUUGGUAUUUCCCACAAGCUCAGGGACAUAUAUAGUAUAUUGUGACACAUCUCAUAUUGGACUUGGUGCAGUGUUGAUGCAGAAUGACAAGGUUAUUGCAUAUGACUCCUGGUAGUUGAAGAUUCACGAGAAGAAUUAUCUAGUUCAUGAUUUGGAGCUAGCAGCCAUUAUUCAAGCGCUUAAGAUUUGGAGGCAUUAUUUAUAUGGCGUGUCAUGCAAGGUAUUCACGGAUCAUAAGAGUUUGCGGUAUUUGUUCAAGUAGAGGAACUAAAUUUGAGAGAGAAGAUGUGGUUGGAUCUUUUGAAAGACUGUGAUAUCACUAUCUUGUAUCAUCCCGAGAAGGCAAAUGUGGUGUCCGCUGCGUUGAGUAUGAAGUCGGCUAGUAUGGGUAGCCUUGCAUUUCCAGUCGCUGAGAUACCGCUUGCUUUGGAUGUUCAUGCUUUGGCCAACCAGUUCGUGAGGUUGGAUAUCUCUGAGCCCAGUUGUAUUCUAGCUUGUAUGGUCGCUCGGUCUUUAUUAUUUGAGCGUAUCAGAGAUCGGCAGUAUGAUGAUCCUUAUUUUCUUGUACUUAGAGACAGAGUGCGGCACAGUGGUGCCGAGCAGGUUGCAGUUGGAAAUGAUGGAGUUCUGAGAAUGCAUGGUCGAGUUUGUGUGUAGAUUUUGUGCCAGAUCCCGUGAGUAAAUUUUGGGUUGCUGCCUUCAGUCCACGGGAGACCCAAGGUAGAUCUUCCAGUAUUGGCAGACCCUAGAGUCCCCUUUUCCCUUAUUUUAGAUUUCCUAUCUCUUCCAUUUCGAGAACAUAUGUAUUUCUUUUAAACCAGUAUUUGUUGAACUUCUUAGACAUUAGUGAAUUCUGAUACCAGAUCAUUAGGGUAGUCAUGUAUUAAAGUAUUUGAACUGUUAUAUCACUACCGCACUUUAUAUAUGUUAGUUUUAUAUAUUAUUUAUUAAUUCUUGGUUAGUAAUUAAUGUGUUACAACUGUAUUUGUGGACUUGCCUAGCUUUUGGAGUAGGUGUCAUCGCGACUCGCAUGAUGGAAAAUCCGAAUCGUAACAUAUUUACAAAAUUACAAAUGUUCAUUAUCGAUAGACGGUGCAAAUAGCACACAUAAAAGAAAUAUAAGAGGUUCCAUAAAUAAUUUGGAUAUGUUUUACUUCGACCUCCAGAUGCAGCUAUCUAUAUAAAUGCCAAAAUCAUGGUGAAUGAAAGCGUUAGAAGGUAAUGAGUACAUCUAAAAUUACACGCAUACCUAAUAAAAACUUGGACAUAAUGAAAGAAAUAAAUGGGGGAAUUUCAAUUAUUUGUCUUUAAGUUUGUCAUGAUCAUAUGUUUAUUUAGGUCCAGUAUUUUCUAAGAAUAUUUUAUCUUGUUAGAGAUUUAUAUGCGGAUAGAAAUUAUAGAGUAUUUGUAAUGAUCUUUUAUUCUAAAUUGCAGUUUAUAGUAUUGGAAUGGUAUGAUUUUAUUUGGAGACAUGAAGAAUACUUACUUGAGAUUGAAACGUAAUUAUUGUUUUUUAUUUGUUAAUCUUACAAGUUUGAAAUCUGCGGCAAAUUUAACCAAUUACUGGAACAAAUAUGUUGUUGUAAUACGAAACUUGCGACGAUAAAACGAUAUUGACAGCUAUGCCAAAUGCAAUUAGCAAUAACACAAUGCAGCUGUAUACCAAAAUAAUUUACUAUGGUCAAUGAUCAAGUUACGGGAGCAUAUAAUUAACUAUGAUAAGUGUUAGAAAUUUUUAUGUAAACACAAGUAAUAUGUGUCAAUAAAUCUAUUGUAAACACGUUUUUUUUUCAAACUUAAGUACUAUGUAUAAGUAACAGAAAUAAUAUUGGAAGGUAAAUAUUAUAAAUAGAGCUCCUAAAGGUGGUAAAUAGUAAUGGUAAGAUGUGAACACAGGCUAGGGCUACCCUCGACAAUAUAAGCUUGCGGGGUCGAGUAAACUGGCUACUAGCAAUGAGUUCCAAAUGACAUAAAUAAUAAGAUCGUAUGUUUGUCCCAAGUGAAGAAAGAGGAAUAAGAAGAAGGGCCAGUGGCCCAGGCUCCUUAUUUCCCCAUAUACUUACUGAAACUACAAUGAUGGUGUUUCCUCUGCAUGGGGGAAUGGCGUGAAUUACGCACUCAUCAUUUGUCUCUAGAUCCCUUCCCUUCCCACCCCACCUUAACCCCCUCCCCCCAAAGCAGGGGCCAAGCUAGGAGGAAAUUACCAGUGCGAGUGAAUUUAGUAGUAUUAGUAAGAUGCGGAAUCAUAAUAUAAAGUUUAUGAGUGUAAAAUCUAUCAUCGAGCCCAUAGCUCGUUCUACUUAGGAUUUACAAUUAAAUAUUCAUAUAAAAAUAAUUUUUUUAUAUAAAUAUAUAGCCAAAUCAAAAAUUAUUAAAUUCGGACAAACAUAUAACCACCACGUAUUACCUCUGUUGUAGCUUUUACAAAUCAUAUAUUUGUAUAAGCAACUUAUGAAAUAUUUAUGAAAAUUAAAUUAAUUCACUAUAACAUGAUAUCGCUAAAAUUUAAAACUUAUAAAAUUCAAAUAACACCAUAAACGCUGAGGUAGGACUCUAAAACUUUUAAAACUCGCAAGAUGUUCUUCUAUUGGUCAGAAUAAUUGGUAUCUUAUUUAGUAGGCGUUUGGACAUAAAAAAUUAUAAAAUUCCAAAAAAUAGUGAAAAACAUUUAAGUAAAAAUGAUUUUUGCAUUUUAAAGUUAUGUUAGGACAUAAAUUUCAGUUUUGGUUAUUUUUAAAGUUUUGUGAAUGAUUUGAGUUAAAAUUUUAAAAAAUAAUUUUUUGAAAUUAUUCAAAUUUUUAAAAUGCAUCUUCAAGUCAAAAUCGAAAAUUUUAUGAACAAAUAAUGAUUUUAAAAAAAGUUAAUUUUUAUUUUGGAAAAAGGAAAAAAAAUAUGUCCAAAUGGGCUCUCAAUAUUUUUUAUUUUGGGAGCCAUAUAUCAAUUAUAUAAACUAAUUGAAAAUAAUCUGCCAAUGGGCUUCUGCCAAACCCUUAUUUUGAAAAGGGAUUUUUACCUAUACAUACCAUAUAGCAAACCUUAUUACCACCCAUGUUUAAGGUUUGUGUUUAUUACAUUUAAGUACAUCACCUUUCAAUUUAUGUACCAAAAUUCUAUUUAAGGUUUAAUUAUCAACUUAUUAGUUAUAGGCUUGAUUUGUGGAACUGAAAAUCUUUUCAGAUUUUAUUUUACACGUUUCUUCUCUCUCUUACAAAUAAAACUCACGAUUUUCUCCCCUUUUUUAAUUACCCUCCCCCACGUUUUUUACCAAAAUCGAUUUCUAUCUCUCUCUGCUUGAAUUUCAUCCGCCAUUGUCGAAGCUUGAACAGUUUCAGAUCGAGAAGUUNNNNNNNNNNNNNNNNNNNNNNNNNNNNNNNNNNNNNNNNNNNNNNNNNNNNNNNNNNNNNNNNNNNNNNNNNNNNNNNNNNNNNNNNNNNNNNNNNNNNNNNNNNNNNNNNNNNNNNNNNNNNNNNNNNNNNNNNNNNNNNNNNNNNNNNNNNNNNNNNNNNNNNNNNNNNNNNNNNNNNNNNNNNNNNNNNNNNNNNNNNNNNNNNNNNNNNNNNNNNNNNNNNNNNNNNNNNNNNNNNNNNNNNNNNNNNNNNNNNNNNNNNNNNNNNNNNNNNNNNNNNNNNNNNNNNNNNNNNNNNNNNNNNNNNNNNNNNNNNNNNNNNNNNNNNNNNNNNNNNNNNNNNNNNNNNNNNNNNNNNNNNNNNNNNNNNNNNNNNNNNNNNNNNNNNNNNNNNNNNNNNNNNNNNNNNNNNNNNNNNNNNNNNNNNNNNNNNNNNNNNNNNNNNNNNNNNNNNNNNNNNNNNNNNNNNNNNNNNNNNNNNNNNNNNNNNNNNNNNNNNNNNNNNNNNNNNNNNNNNNNNNNNNNNNNNNNNNNNNNNNNNNNNNNNNNNNNNNNNNNNNNNNNNNNNNNNNNNNNNNNNNNNNNNNNNNNNNNNNNNNNNNNNNNNNNNNNNNNNNNNNNNNNNNNNNNNNNNNNNNNNNNNNNNNNNNNNNNNNNNNNNNNNNNNNNNNNNNNNNNNNNNNNNNNNNNNNNNNNNNNNNNNNNNNNNNNNNNNNNNNNNNNNNNNNNNNNNNNNNNNNNNNNNNNNNNNNNNNNNNNNNNNNNNNNNNNNNNNNNNNNNNAUCUUUUAAGGUUUUAAAAAGAUCAUUUAAUUAAGACAGAAUCAAAUAUUAAUUGGGAAGCUUAAAAUCUGGCGCUAUUUUAGGCUAUAAAUUCAGCUAGAUAUGGUUUGGUACAGUUUUGGUAAAGAAAACAUAGUGUAUGCGGGUAAUAACCAAACAAGGCACAAUAAUAAUAAUAAGGUUUGCUAUAUGACAUAUUUAGGUAAAAAUCCAUAUUGAAAAUAAUCAUCAUUCCUAGGGUGCACGCUUUCGCUCCAAUGGGCUUCUGCCAAACCCCUUAUAUUUUUCUCAUGCAGCUUUUUAUAUAAAUUUAAUAUUAUUAACACAAAAACAUAGACUAUACUACCAUUACACCGUAGAAGGCGGUUUGGUCUCUUUUAAGCUUUCUCUUGGAUCCAUGCAUGGGUAGAGAAUCCUAUUGCUUUGUUAAAAAGGCAAAAAUAAAAGGACUGAUAAAACAUUACAACAUGAUUCUCCAUACUAUAGAAUACAUAUAUAUGAACAGAGAAAACGUACGAGAUGGGCAAUCUAAGCUUCAAGUAUCCAUUAAAGAAAAAAGGAACGUUCAUCAAAGGCAUUUCGAAGCCAUCAAAACUUUAAAGUUGCUUGGCUUCUUCACAUUACCCUAUCACUCUUUUUCUGUGUCUCUUCGUGCUUUGCAUAUUUUUUAAUGACAUGUUUGCAUAAAUAGUUACAAUGUCAACUUCUAAUCUAUACCUAGUUACGUAAUAAAACCGAGUCUUUCUCUAUAGAAUCCGAUGAGGACAGUGCUUGUAACUGACAAGUACAAUUCACCCUUUUAGGCAACAUAUAAAUCCCAUUCAUUUUAAUGUUCUAUUCUCUUUUUUCAUUUGCUAUUUACUAAUGAGUUUAAAUUCUAUACAAGAAUAGUGUCAAAAAUAGUUGCAAAGUUACAUUUAUUUCGUUUCAAUUUAGAUGAGAUAGAUUAAUUUGGCAGAAGAAGAAAAAAAGACUUUUAAAAUAUGUGAUGCUAAAAGUUUAAAGGCAAAAGUAUUGUGGGGCCAUUUUAUUUGUGUGACUAUAAAAAUUUCUUAUUAAGAGUAAAAUGAGUAGAAUAAAAAGUUUAAAUUUGAUUAUGAUCCAGUAAAAUCCCACUAGUGGGGUCUUGGGAGGAUUAAUGUGUACGCAAACAUUAAAGUUGAUUUUUUCCAAAUAUAGAAAUAUUUUACUCAUUUUGAAACGGAUUAAUAAAGAAAAUAUAUCAUUUAAAUUAAAACAAGGGGAGUUCCUCUUUUAAGAUAAUUAUAUAUAAAUAUUUAUGAUAAACAUUAAUUGAUAAUCUGAUAAAAAUUAUAACCUUCCAUAAUAAGUUAACUAUACUGAUUAUGUAAAAUAUAUUUAUAUUGUAACUUAAAUCCAAUUUUUAAUUUGAAGUAUUGCGCCAGGGAGAAUCUUGUAACAUUACAAGGAAAAUUAGCGUACUCUUAGACAAACUUGUUCGGCAUUAGAGACGGGCCCAAAAUUUAAAUAUAUUGAGGGCACCAUUAAGAAGCAUACCAAUUACUAGUGAUAAAGUUGGGGUGUAACUCUAUUAAAAAAAUGAGUAUGAUAAUGUAUUAGCAAAUACGAAAUUUAAGUUUACUUUUUGGCUCCAAAACUCUUCGGAGAAAGCAAUAGUUCGAUACCAAAUUAUUUUGCUUUGUUAAUAUUUUCAAAAGAAAAAAUUAGGGAUCUUUAUCUAAAUAACUGGCUAUAUUUAUUAUUUACUUUUUUCUAGUUAUAUAUAUAGUUAUAUAUUAGUUACACACAAUUAUACGUCAUAUAAUACAUAUAUUAUAUGUCCAUCAGUUAUUUCUUGUUUAAAUAGUUAGGUUUCAAAAAAUUACUCAAAUAAAAUUAAAAUUUACUCAAAUAAGUUAAGUGUUUCAGCUGAAGAAGAGUCUCAAACUCAGUAGACGUCGCCAAUUUGGACUGUCAAUGUCGAGCUUGAGCAGACGCAAAUUAAGAAUAAAACAAUCAUUUGAAAAAGUAUUUUUAUUUUGAGCAGAAGAGGUGAUUGGAGGGGUUUUACUUUGUUUGAAAUAGAGAGGUGAGAGGCAGAAGGGUUACUUUUGUUUUUGAAUUUGGAAAAGGUUAACGUUGACUAUUGUGUACAAGUAUUAAGAAUUAAAACUAAAUAAAAUAAAAAAACUAGUAGACAACUAAUGCCAAAGGAAACAAUCGUUGAUUUAAAAAGAGCUAAAAGCUAGCAAAGCGGGCGCACGAUAGCAGGUGGCAAUCCUGCGCAUCGGCCAUGGCUAAGACGAGGAAGAAGCAUCAAUCGGAACCAGCAAACAGAGGAGAUGAGGAUUUGGAAGUCACACCAGCAAUAAACCAUCCAAAUCGAUGGCUAACGGAAAUGGGUUCAGCACCCACUGUAUUCCAUAACCCGGAAGCGGAUGAUAUGCAAAAUGGGGCGAUAGUGACACCGGAGUCGGAUAUUCAGCAGAGAUUGAAUCCGGUAACUCUUGGAAGCUUUAUGCCAAAGCAAUUUCAACCUAUUAGGGAGGAAAUCGAGGAAUGUCAGGUCCAAGCUCAAGAGGCAGGAACACAGGCACAAUCGCAAGUUCACCGGCGAUUGCAAUUUUCCACGCACGCAAAACAAGAUCGAAGCAUACAAGUUGUAGCAGACACAGGGGAAGUUGAAAAGAAAAAGGUUUUCAAUCGAAGCCCAAAAAGAGGAAAUGCCCUAAGCUACAUCCCCCCUGAUAUGAGAGAUGGGCGAUUUGUAGUUCAAAUUGAUGAUGGAGAUACAAAGGAAUUAGAGGCUUAUUGGAGUAAUGCAUUGAUAGGCUUUGUACUGGAGGAGUCUCCGUAUGAAAAAAUUAUGGAAACUUUUGUCGCAAACCUGUGGAAUUUCGUCGACAAGCCUCAAAUAAUGUAUCAUGACGAUGGGUACUUUCUAUUCAGAUUUGAGAAUGCGGAGGAUAAGGAUCGUGUAUUACAAGCAGGACCUUACACCUUCCGUAACAAGCCACUUGUACUGCAGCAAUGGAAAAUGGAUUUCAAGUUUGAUCCGGCUGAUAUUUCCACUGUGGAUAAACUUUCCUGGAUUACCACUGGGUUUCUGGUCAAUUGAAGCAUUAAGCAAAUUGGCUAGUGUAGUUGGAAAACCUCUAUAUACUGAUAAAUUCACAUCGGAUUUGGAGAAAGUGUCAUAUGCCAGAGUGUUGAUUGAAACAGAUAUAUCCAAGCCUUUACCAGAUAGUUUAGAGCUUCAAACAAAAAGAGGAAUCAUAGUCCAACAAAUAAACUACGAAUGGAAACCAAAGUAUUGUGAUAAUUGUAUCAAAUUUGGACAUAGUUCUGCUGAGUGUUGGUAUAAGGAAGAGCAACAGACAACAAAGGAAGAGAGGAACAAACCUAAAUCAGGUCAGUUGAAACAGAAGUUCAGAGUAACCAAGAGAUGGACACCAAAAGUAAAAACCAAGAAUGUGGCAAUUGAACAGGAAAAGAAGACUGGGGAUAUGAUGGAGACAGAAGGAACUAGCUUUACAAAGGAGGAUGAAAAUGGGAAACAGAAAGGGAAGAAUGCACUGCAAACAGAAACUUGUAUCCUGAACUCAAGCAACAGAUUUACCCCUUUACAGAUGGAAGGCAAUCUUGGGGAUGCUGGCCCAUCCAGCUUCACCCCUAAAUGAUACUAACCACCUGGAAUAUCAGGGGCCUGAACAAGGCCUACAAGCAGAAAGAGUUACUGCUCUUUCUGAGGAAGCAUAAGGUGGAUGUCAUGGACUGUUUAGAAACUAAAGUAAAAGAAGGGAAAGCUAGAAGGAUACUCAACACUGUCAAUGGAGAAUGGAGUAAUUGUUGUAAUUAUAACAAACAUUCAAAUGGCAGAAUCUGGCUAUUGUGGAAACAAAGCAGUGAGAUGACAAUCUUGUUGACUAAUGAACAAUUCAUUCCUUGUGAAGUUCAGGAAAGAGGUACCACCUUUAAAACUCUUCUUAUAGUGGUAUAUGCAAGCAAUGAUAUAAAUAAAAGACAGAAGUUAUGGGAUAGGCUGAUGUUGUUAGGAGCAUCUGUUAAACAAAGCUGGUUGAUCAGUGGGGAUUUCAACAAUGUUCUUCACACGGAUGACAGAAUUGGCUCACCAGUAAAAUGAACUCAAAGGGUUUCAGGAAGCAAUAAACAAUCUUCAACUUACUCAACUUCAACAAUGUUCUUCACAGAGAUGACAGAAUUGGCUCACCAGUAACACAGAAUGAGCUCAAAGGUUUUCAGGAAGCAAUCAACAAUCUUCAACUUACUCAAUUGAAAAGUUUGGGAUGUUACUUCUCUUGGUGCAACAAACAACAACCUAGCAGAAGGGUGUAUAGCAGGAUAGACUGGAGUUUUGGCAAUAUGACAUGGAUGCAACAUUACAGUCACAUUGAAAUUGAUUAUCUGACUCCGGGGGUAUCAGACCAUUCUCCUAUUCUAAUACAAUGCACAACUACAAUUCAGAGGAAGAAUAUACAUCCCAAACCUUUUAAACUGUACAAACAUGUGAUGGAGCAUGUUGACUUUACUGGUAUAGUAGAAAAGGUUUUGAAACAGAUGGGAGAUGAUGGAACUGGGAGCAUGCAAAGGAUAUAGAGCUUGAUGUAGUAGCAAAGGUCUGGAAACAGAGGGGAAAUGAUGACACUGGAAGAAUGCACAAGCUAUGGAACAAACUCAAAACUUUGAAAUGGGAGUUGGAAAGAAUUGAAUACUCAUAUGGCAUCCUAUCGAACCCAUCUCAAUGCAGCAAGACAGAAACUAGAAACCAUUCAGUUAGAAUUGAGAAGGAAUAAUCUGGACCAGCAGCUGAUAGACCAAGAAAAGAAAACUUUAACAGAAGUAGAGAAAUGGAGCAACAUAGAAGAACAGAUUCUUCAUCAAAAAUCCAGGGCACGGUGGAUCAUGUGUGGAGACUCAAACUCCAAGUACUUCCAUGUACAACUGAAGUAUAGGACAAACAUAAACACAAUAAACUCCAUAUACAUUGACUCAGGGGUGAUUACUUCCAUGCACAAAUGAAGCAGAGGACAAACAUAAACACAAUUAGCUCAAUAUACACUGACUCAGGGGAGAGACUGUUUGAUCCUAAACUAGUGGAAGCAGAGUUUAUAGAUGUAUUCAGCAAGAUAAUGGGGGAAAGUAAACCUUUCUGUAAAUGUCCAAAUACUGUCCUUAUUCAAAAGGGACCAUGUCUUAGCACGCAGCAGAAACAGUCUCUGAUUAGGCCAGUUACAAAGGAGGAAAUUAAUCAGGCAAUAAAUGAUAUGCCCCAUGAUAAAGCCCCAGGAGUAGAUGGCUUCCCAGUCGAAUUCUUCACUAGACACUGGGACACUGUUGCUGAUGAUGUAUAUGAAUCAGUAACGGAAUUCUUUGCAACAGCGAAACUGCAUAGAGGAGUAAGUAGCACAGUAGUAACCUUGAUUCCUAAAAUACAAAAUCCUUCUACUGUCAACGACUACAGACCCAUUGCUUGCUGUAUGACCCUAUAUAAAAUAAUCACAAAGGUGCUAACAGCAAGAAUCAAAACAGUCAUAGGUGGCUUGAUAGGUAAUUCAAAGUCAGCUUUUAUUGAAGGCAGAAGUAUAACAGACAACAUACUAUUUACCCAGGAAUUAUUUAAAGGGUACAAUAGGAAAGGAGUAUCCCCUCGGUGUGUAUUAAAAUUCGACCUGAGGAAGGCAUAUGACACAGUGGAGUGGUGUUUUAUUGAGAGGCUACUGCUGGACAUGGGGUUCCCCUACAAAUUUACGAAAUGGAUAAUGGAAUGCAUAUCUUCUGUCACAUAUUCAUUAAAUCUCAAUGGAGGGCUGACCAAUAAGUUUAAAGGAAAAAGAGGUAUAAGGCAGGGAUACCCAAUGUCCCCAUACCUCUUUGUCAUUGUCAUGGAAUACUUACACAGGGAACUCAAGUAUAUGAUGGAAAGUAAGGAUUUCAAAUUUCAUCCUAGAUGCAAGAAGCUGGGAGUGGCUCAUAUCUGUUUUGCUGAUGAUCUUCUACUAUUCUGCUAGGCUGAUACCCAAUCUGUAAGACUUUUAAAACAAACGCUCCAAAAAUUUGCGGAAACCUCAGGACUUCAAGCAAAUGCAGAUAAAAGUGCAGUCUAUGUAGCAGGAGUAUCAAACUGGCUAAAGGAGGAAAUCUUACAAGAACUAGACUUCCCUGAAGGCUCUCUACCUUUCAAAUAUCUUGGUGUUCCAUUGGACUUCAAAAAAUUAUCAGUUACACAAUGCUGGCUAAUAGUAGAAAAGAUAACACCGAAAAUUAACUACUAGACGUCAAGACUACUGUCUUACGCAGGUCCAGUUGAUCAAGUCAGUCUUAUUUGGAAUUCAAUCUUACUGGUCUCAAAUCUUCCUCCUACCUAAAAAGGUAAUGAAGAUGAUCGAGGCAAUCUGCAGAUCUUUCUUGUGGACUGGAGCAGCAAAUGUGUGAAAGAAGGCAUUAGUAGCAUGGGAAACUAUCUGUCUACCAUAUAGUUCUAGAGGCCUAAAUGUAUUGAACCUGCCACUCUGGAAUAAGGCAGCUGUUGCAAAGCAUCUGUGGGCAGUAACAAUGAAGAAGGACAGCCUAUGGGUCAAAUGGGUGCACACAUACUACAUCAAAAACUAAAUCAUCUGUGGGCAGUAACAAUGAAGAAGGACAGCCUAUGGGUCAAAUGGGUGCACACAUACUACAUAAAAAACAGUGCUGUAGAGGAUGUACCUACUCCUAAAAGUGCUGCAUCGGCUGUGAGAAAGAUCCUUGAGACUCGAUCACUGAUAACAAAUAUACAAGGAAUACAAGGAAAUCUGGAAUGUAGACUACACUAGCUACAAAGAGGUGAACGGUUCAGCAUAAAAAAACUCUACAUACUGCAACUCCCUCAACACCGCAAAGUACACUGGAAAAGCAUUAUUCUGCAGACAAAACUGCACCCACAAUUCAAAUUUAUCGUCUGGCUAGCUUUGUGCAGAAGACUGGCAACAGUGGAGAGGCUGAUGCACUUUGGGAUACAGAUUCCACAACAAUGUGUAUUAUGCAGGCAAAUAGACGAAUCCUUUGACCAUAUUUUUUUUACUUGCCCGACAUCUUGGGAGCUAUGGAAUAGACUGCUAAUAUGGCUAGGAUACCAGAGGGCCAUCUGUGAUUGGAACAGUGAAGUAGAAUGGAUUAGCAACAUUGCAAAAAGGAGAAAUGGACAUGCUGAAAUAACCACCAGUGUGUUUGGAAUGUUAGUAUGCUGAAUGGAUUAGCAACAUUGCAAAAAGGAGAAAUGGACAUGCUGAAAUAACCACUAGUGUGUUUGGGAUGCUAGUAUACUGUCUAUGGCGAAAAAGAAACAAGAUUAGGUUCCAAGGCGGAAGAAUAGGUAUAAAUGAUACAUACAAAGAGAUAGCAGUUCACAUACAUAAACAAGGGACCUCUUUAAAACACUGGAAGGAUGAUUUGCGAAGACUGGAUCACUACCCUUAGAAAUUGAUGUAUAUAUAGAUUACAGGAGUGAAUUCCUAUAGACUGAUUGAGAGCAGUAGCUGGUCAGCAGCUACUUUUAUUUUGUAAUGUUUUGAUCUUUGAUAAAAUGAAGUAUUAAAGUUCCAAAAAAAAAAAGAGCUAAAAUAGAAUAAAUUCGGAGGGUAAGAGCUGCGAUUCGAACUUGUGUCCGUCAAGCGACUGAGCACUAUCAACUAGGCUACAAAAACCACCGUUUACUAUAAAAAUUACUACAAGACAAUACCCUCCUAAAGUUGAAAACCAAAUCAAGCAAUGUUGAUUUUUCUCUCUUUCAAAUCCUCUUUACAGAAUCUAACUACUUCAACAGUAGGGGUGUAUAUAGACCGGGUUGGUUCGGAUUUUACAAUUAUUAAAUUAACCUAAUUGUGUCGGGUUAUUAAAUCUAAAAACCAAACCAAAUCAAUAAAUUCGGAUUUUUCAAUACCGGUUUUUCUCGGAUUUUUUCAGGUUUUCGGGUUUUCGGGUUUUUUGAAACUUUUCCGGUAAAAUCUUCAUAGAACAAAACAUGUAACGUAUGCUCAAAAUAUUUCUUUAAUCCUAGUAAGAUACAACUACAUAAAGUAUUUUCCAAGAAAAUAAUACAAAAUAUGAGAUGUCAUGGCAUUAUUCUAAAAUAUUCAACAAUAUUCAACAAUAAAAUUAUGUAAUGUAAAUAUUGCUAAUUAAAAAGCCAUGAUAGAAAUAAAUAUAAUCUAAGAGUAUUAAAUCAUGCUAUAAUAAGUAGACUAAUAGGGAGUAUUAAAUACAUGGGUAAACGCUAAAGAAAAAAUAAAAAUAGAUUAUGCAUUUUUAUCUAAAUUGUUGCAAACAAAAAAUAGAUAUUCAAUGCAUUUCCAUUCAUUAUAUUAAACUAAAUGUCUUUUGUUAGCAUGAAUAUUGAUUUGAUUUUAGUUUGGGCUUUUGUUAGCACUGUUAAAUUUACUAAUGUUAAUGGCUAUAAAACUUAUUAGAACAUUCAAAAGUUCUAAGUCCAACUUUGAAAUAAUACCUCAAAAAAUAAAAUUAUGAAAUCUUUUAAGAAAUAUUUAUAAAUUACAUCACAAUAAGUAUAUUUAUAUAUAUAAUAUCUCUAAAAAAUUUAUAUAUGUAAUGUCAGGUUGGUUUAGUUUCGAUUUGACUUUCUUUAGUUAAAACCAAACCAAACUAAUUAUGGUCGGGUUUUUUCCAACACCAAACGAAUCAAACCAACCCAUAAUCAGAUUUUUUUCUCUGUUUGACUCGAAUUAUCGAGUUGGUGUAGUUUGUCAGUUUCCUUUGUACAUCCCUAAUUAAUCGUAUCAGAUUUUGUUACACAAAUUGAUACAGUAACUUAAUGAACAAGUUACUAAAUAUGAAUAAUCACUAAUUAAAAACCAAAUCUCGAAUUUUGGCACAACUUAUACAAUAAAACAAUUAAACCUAAAUAUACAUAUUAUUAUAAGCUUUCUUUAGUUAAAAUCAAACCAAACCAAUUAUGGUCGGGUUUUUUUUUUCCAACACCAAAUCAAGUCGAACCAAACGAUAGUCGGAUUUUUUUUCUCGACUUGACUCGGAUUAUCGGGUUGGUGCAGUUUGUCGGUUUUCUUUAUACACCCCUAUUCAACAGCCAUCAUCAUCCACCAGAAAACAAAAAUACAAAUGAAUAACAAAAUAAACAAAAAGUCAAGAGCGAAGAAACGAGCAACAACCAAAUUUGAUUAAUAGGGAGUAAAAAGUUGGACAAGUUAUAUGUGAGACUAGAUUUAAAAAACAUCGGUAGUGUAAAAAUUUGAUAUAUCCAUAAUCGUUACAUAUUAAUUUUAUCUUAUAAAUUACUUUGACCAAGUCAAAAAAACAUAAUGACGUGACUAACAUCUACAAUUUAUAGAAAGAACUGAUUUUUAUGGUCAUCACACGUUGGGUUGGUGUGGGAAUAGGUUUUACAGUAAUAGUUAAAAAGAUUGAGAAUUUAUGUAUAAAGCGUGUGUGAUCGUUUAAUGUAUAAGUUUAUGUCAAAACGAACAAUAUAAAAAGUGUGUGUGACCGUUUAAUGUACAAACUUAACUCAAAGCGAACAAUAUCAUAUUAUAUUAAAAAUAUUAUUGGAUCGUUUUAGCCCAAUAUUAUAUUUCUCCUUUUCGAAGUCUAAACGCCUCCAUCUAGGUUACAACUUACAACCAAGAAUGCCUUCUGUUAAAAUAUUCGGUAGAUUGGUGAAUUAUGUCAAAAGUAGGUUCUAUUACUAUUACAGGAAGUAGAAGCCUGAUUAUUUAAAAAAUAACCCAACACUUUACUGUUCGGUUUCAAAAGUGAGACUUCCUUGCCUGCGUCCCCAUUAACUUCAACCUUUGGUACAAGAACUGCAUUGCCAUUACUUAUUUGCGAAAUGGACCAUACCCUUAUGCUUAGGUUUUUCACAACUGGGAGCAACUUUUGUGAAGCAUGUCAAAGUAGGGUCCUUACUGUUAGGACUGAGAAAAUCAAGUGUCAUGCGGGGAUUUAGUUGACAAACUUAAGACAAUGAUAAAUUCGAUAAGAAAAGAAAAAUCUAUCAAAAGGGACGUAAACAUAUAAUGAUGUUCGGUCAAUUUUGUAAACAUAAACCGUAAUUCAUACCAGGAUAUUGAAUAUGAUAAUAUUACAUAUAAUCAUCAUAGAAAACAUAACUGAAGCGGAAUCCAUAAUCUUGAAGCGGAAGUGUUAGUAGGUAAAUCGGUUUCUCACCCCUUGCCCUAGAUUUACGUUACCGCCAAAUUUAGUGAUGGAAGAGAGGAAAAAAUAUGGGUAACCCUAAUGGGUGGGGAGAGGACCAAUUUAUAGAGGUUCUCACUUAAUCCCGUACGUCCAUCAAGUAACCAAUCGGACAGAUGAGAUUUGAUAAUUAAUUAAAUAUUAAUUAUGGGCCUAAUCUUAUUGGGUCGCACAAACGUAGGAAAUAACUUACAAAUUUGACCUACGUCCAAGGCGGAGAUAGCAAUCCACUAUAAUAAAAGAGAGUACAAAAUAUCGAAAGAACAAUCUCAUGAAAAGGCAAACACAAGUGAUACAGUCACAUUUGUCACGUAAAGUUCUUCCUUAAAUACGACUCUCAAACCCCAUAUGACUACAUUGUAGAUGCUAAUAAAUGAGAAUGAUCGAUUUUCAAUUUAUAGAGCUUCACAUCUUUUCCUACAAGAAAAUAACCAAAUAUAAAAUAAUUAUUCCUUCUAAAAAAAGAAAAAUUCUAUUAUGAUAAAUAUGUUGUCUGAGAUAGAAAAAUAAAUUAUGCACCGAACACUUAUUUGGAGCACACCACAAGUAAUGUCCGGUAAAAACAAUGGUUACUCUAAUUGACUAUUCUAAAUUCAAUUCAUAAUAGUAAGCCUAAAAAACACUUCUAAUAUUGGAGAUUGGGAUAAAGGAAAUGAAAAGAGCUCAUUUUCUACACACAGGACAGUCUUGGUCAAUUGUGGCAUUAAUUUGCUUAAACAUUCAACUAUGUGUGUGUGAAAAAAAAAAAAACCAAUUGUAAAGAACUACCAUUAAUGUUGUGGACACAAUAGCUGUCAAACGUAAAAGAAAUUUGCAUGUAGAUAAUUAUAUCCCAUGGACAAUAGGUGGAACAGUGUCUGAAAUUGGUCCCAGAUCCUUGGUAUAACAGGAAACAAAUUAUAUAUAGCUUAUAUGUAUGGAAGUACCGUCAUCAAUUUUCUAUCUCUUCCCAUGAACUUAUAGCAUAUAUAAAUAUAGCUACUCUGUUAUAGACACUUUACACCCUUGAAAUCAAUAAAGGAUACUACUACAUUAUUGUUUGAUUAUUUUUUACCGUAAUCAAGCUCCUGCUGAGUUGUAACUCUAAGGCAUAGUUCUUAUAAAUUUCGUAACAACAAGAAAAAGUCCGAGUAUUGAUUACUCAUAAAAUUUGUAGUGGAUCCCUGGUUUCUAUGUUUUGAUAAUUAGAUAAGGUUUAUUUUGGAAAACAUACUAUGACUUUAUACAAACUCAAGGCAUUUCCCAUAUUGACUUUUGUUUCCACUAAACCCCAUAGAAAGAAAAAGUUAAAUUCAAGUUUGUUUAAGUGGGGAUUAAACAAAUAGUGUAAUAACUCUAUGGCUGUAUAGAAGUUGCUAACAUUUUGUCCCAUUGAUAACCUUCUUCUAGUUGUAUGGAAGAUGGACAUGUAUUCAAUGUCACUCUGCCAAGACUUGGGCAAAAUAAAUAAUUACAUUCUAAUGUACUAUAUCUUUUUUGGAGUUUUUCCUUUGGAAGAAUGGGAGCAGUGGUUAUUUUAAUAACUUUUCUCUAGGAACAAUAAUAUGGUGUUAUUCGAAGAAGCAAAUUUCAAAUUUGUCCUUGUCUUUGAAUAUGUCGAAUGUUUUAAUUAUUUGAAUAAAGGUAUGAGCCUCGCCUUGCUUAUUGUCUCUAUUCUGGGGGAUAUGGCAAAGGAGGCAUUUAUUUAGUAUAUAUAAAUAUGUAAGGCCAAAGAUCAUUUUUAAUCUGCAUUGGAAAUUAUUUAUAUUUGAUAGUAUAAUUUUUUUAUAUGUAACAUAUAAAAGUGUACUAUAUAUACAUAUAUNNNNNNNNNNNNNNNNNNNNNNNNNNNNNNNNNNNNNNNNNNNNNNNNNNNNNNNNNNNNNNNNNNNNNNNNNNNNNNNNNNNNNNNNNNNNNNNNNNNNNNNNNNNNNNNNNNNNNNNNNNNNNNNNNNNNNNNNNNNNNNNNNNNNNNNNNNNNNNNNNNNNNNNNNNNNNNNNNNNNNNNNNNNNNNNNNNNNNNNNNNNNNNNNNNNNNNNNNNNNNNNNNNNNNNNNNNNNNNNNNNNNNNNNNNNNNNNNNNNNNNNNNNNNNNNNNNNNNNNNNNNNNNNNNNNNNNNNNNNNNNNNNNNNNNNNNNNNNNNNNNNNNNNNNNNNNNNNNNNNNNNNNNNNNNNNNNNNNNNNNNNNNNNNNNNNNNNNNNNNNNNNNNNNNNNNNNNNNNNNNNNNNNNNNNNNNNNNNNNNNNNNNNNNNNNNNNNNNNNNNNNNNNNNNNNNNNNNNNNNNNNNNNNNNNNNNNNNNNNNNNNNNNNNNNNNNNNNNNNNNNNNNNNNNNNNNNNNNNNNNNNNNNNNNNNNNNNNNNNNNNNNNNNNNNNNNNNNNNNNNNNNNNNNNNNNNNNNNNNNNNNNNNNNNNNNNNNNNNNNNNNNNNNNNNNNNNNNNNNNNNNNNNNNNNNNNNNNNNNNNNNNNNNNNNNNNNNNNNNNNNNNNNNNNNNNNNNNNNNNNNNNNNNNNNNNNNNNNNNNNNNNNNNNNNNNNNNNNNNNNNNNNNNNNNNNNNNNNNNNNNNNNNNNNNNNNNNNNNNNNNNNNNNNNNNNNNNNNNNNNNNNNNNNNNNNNNNNNNNNNNNNNNNNNNNNNNNNNNNNNNNNNNNNNNNNNNNNNNNNNNNNNNNNNNNNNNNNNNNNNNNNNNNNNNNNNNNNNNNNNNNNNNNNNNNNNNNNNNNNNNNNNNNNNNNNNNNNNNNNNNNNNNNNNNNNNNNNNNNNNNNNNNNNNNNNNNNNNNNNNNNNNNNNNNNNNNNNNNNNNNNNNNNNNNNNNNNNNNNNNNNNNNNNNNNNNNNNNNNNNNNNNNNNNNNNNNNNNNNNNNNNNNNNNNNNNNNNNNNNNNNNNNNNNNNNNNNNNNNNNNNNNNNUUUGUGAGCGGCUGGAGAUUGUUGGCGUUCGGCGAGGCAGAGGGAGGCCUAAGAAGUAUUGGGGAGAGGUGAUUAGGCAUGACAUGGCUAGUAUGCUGGUUUCCGAGGACAUGACCCUUGAUAGGAAAGUCUGGAGGUCUAGUGUCAGGGUUGUAGGAUAUGGGCUCCUAGAGUUUUUUGUACUCCUCACCCGGGGUUGGGUGAGGCUUGGAGGGCUAUCCAUUGAUGAUUUGUGUUUUGGCUUAUGUCUCCCUUAUUGCUGUUAGUUAUGGUAGUUACUGUAUCAUAUUAUUGCAUGCUAUUUUAUUUAUGU